UUGAUGGAAUUUGGUGAUUUUUUUCUAUUUUUGUUAUUGAAAGAGGAGGGUGAGGAGUCCUUGAAAUUAGUUUUUUUUUUACGCAUAAUUUCCUACUAUUAUUCUGUAUUCUGGAUUGAAUUGUUGAGAUUUGGUGAUAUUUAUUGUUUGUAAUUGAUAUAGGAGAAUAAUGAGUCCUUAAAAUUAGCUUUUUAUGGCCCCUCCCUAAUUCUUACUAUUACUAUAUUUUUUGUGAUUUGAUUGAUAAGAUUUGGUGAAUUUUUAGUUGUUGUAAUUGAUAGAGGAGAUGAGAAGUCACUAAAAUUAGCUUUUCUUAUGGUCCCUACUUCCUAAUAUUACUGCAUUUUUUUUUCCUCUAUUGGCUUGUUGAGAUUUGGUGAUUAUUGUUCUAAUUGAUAGAGGAGAGUGAGAAAUUGAAGAAUCAGGAGGAGCCAGGGGAGAGGACCGUGCAUCCGGAUUGCAUCAAUGCAUCGAAUCCAUAUCACGAGUGUAGUGAGUUCUGCUUCAAACGGAUUGCAGAUGCGAAGGAUCAGAUGCGAAAGGAGGAACCAGGUUUUUUCUUCCCCCCCUCCCUUUUUCUCUGUCGGUUUUUUUAAUAAUUGGUAAUAUUUAUGUUUUGAGUAGUUUUUAAACUAGUUAGAACAAUUUUACUUGUGAACUCUGCGAAUGACUUGAAAAUUAAUUCCUAACCUAGCUAUGAGAAUAGUGAAGUAAAAGAUUCCAAUACUUGUAACCAAUUGCGGAAAAUUGUGUGUGGGAAGAAAUCUUGUUAUUGUCAUUUGCAGAAAUAGUGUUUAAUGAAUUUUGAAUAAGUUUGUUGGUCAUCUGCUUGCGUCUCCUUGUUGCAAAUAUAGUGACCUGCAAAUAUUCAUCAGAGUUGUCUCUGAUGCCCUCUAAGAAGUUCACAAACUGUUUGAUCUCAUUUGCUGAGCUGUGAUUUGCCGGUUUUCCAAAUUUAGUAUUCUUAUGCACUAUGGAAUGUUGUGUUAGAUCCCCCUCAAUUGCACUUUGAAACUCGAGUAAAAAGUUUCCUAAGCAGAUGAUUUUGUAUCCAUGCUGGUAACUUUAAUUAUGUUUAAAACCUCUCCAGGAAUGGGAGAGGCGGAUGGUGAUCCUUCUUCCCUAAAUGUCUCCAAUGACACUAAGGACCAUCCCAAACAACAAGAGGAUCAAGGAGAAGAAAGGGGUGGCGCCGAUGACUAUCCACAUAUGAACGAAAAGCAGAAGAAGUUGUUCGAGCUGAGGCUUAAAAUGGUAAUAUGUUCUGUAUGAAAUUAUCUAUUAGCAUGUAUAACCUUUCAAAAUCUGUACUUUUUGUGUAUGCCCUUCAAAAACUCAUUUUGUUAUAUCUAUUGCCUUAAACAUACAAAAGGCCCUUUUUGGAAAGCUUUUCUAAUGUAAAACCAACUUCUUCUCAUGAAUUAAAGCAUCUGGUAAAUUUGCCGACUUAAGGUUUUUUUUUUUUUUUUCUGGAGGAAACUGCACUUUUGAGGAGUACAUACAAAAAUUCAGAUACAACAGAGUAAAUUUCUAAAUAGAUUAUUUUGCAAGGAUAAAUGUAAAUGCCCCUUAUGAUUAUUUGGUAAUAUUGCUUGUUUACUGUUGUAUUCUGACAGAAUGAAGCAAGAAAAGCCAAUCAAAUGGCUAUAGUAGCAGAAAAGAAGAAGAUGGAAGCUCCCACUGAACCAAGGGGCAUCUCUAAACAGAAAUGGCUAGAAGAAAGGAAAAAGAAAAUCGGGAAGCUUCUUGAUUCGAAUGGGUUGGAUAUGUCAAAGGCUUACAUGCUUGAUACAGAAGAGACGGCUGAAGUAAAGUACAAAAAGUGGGAGAAAGAUCCCGCUCCAUAUGGCUGGGACGGUAUGCAUCAAAAACAUUUUUCAUAUUUGUUUCUCUGUUGGCUGCAGUUCAUGUAGGGCGGAAGAAUGUGAUUAGAGAUAUCUUUAGUUAUUACGAGUCAUUUACCAACAUUUUGUGAUUCUUAUGAUGCUCAUUUUAAUUAGAGAACUGAAAACUUUUUCCUGGGCAGUAGUUGUUAUUCAUUACUUAUUAGAGGGUCUUAAAGCCUAUUUCUGGUUGAUUCUUAUUUGGCGUUUGUUGGAAAUUUUGAGGAUGCUUUCUGAUUGAGGGAUUUACCUGAGCCCAUCUCAUUUUCACCUGUUGCAAACUGUAAUCUUGUAAUGAAUAAUUAGCUAUCAACUUGCUAAUGUUGUCACUUAUAUGUUAGUGGAGGAAUUGAAUUAUAGAACAAUCAAGGGUGCGAUGGUUUUUAAGAUCUAUAAUCUCUCGGAAAUCCACCUUGAUGAAAUCCUUUUGUUGGAAAUCUAUCUAAUUGAAGUCUGAUUUGGAAGCUUAUUUUUAUCUUACUAUUCUCUUUUCUCCUGGAGUGGCUGUUUUCAUCUAUCUUUUGUACUCUACUUUCCGGAUAAUUUAUGGCAAUUUAGACUCGAGUGAUUCAAUGUGGCAUUUCUGCCCUGAAAGAAUAGCAGUUAUCUGAUAAGUAGUUUUUCAUAUGCAGUUUUCAAUCAGAAAACACUUUACAAUGCCCACAAGAAGCGGACCAAGAACAUACAGGUCGACAUGGAGGCAUACAAUAAAGCAAAGGAAGCUGAUCCCGAGUUCUAUCGUGAUGCUUCCAGUCUUCAAUAUGGGAAGGUACUUUUCGCCCCAUGACACUAUCUGAACCAGCUUCUUUUGGACUCAUUUAAGAAACAAGGCUAAACAUAGAUUACUCCCGUGAAUAUGUGCACUUUACUCCCGUGAAUAUUGAUAAGCAAAACCUACAUAUGCAGAAUUUUCUGAUGAAUCAGGACUUUGUGUAUGGGUUUACAUUUCCAUCUGUUUCCUGUCGGCAGGUUUCGAAAGUUUCCGAGGAAAACAUCGAUCUAAUGGUGAAGGAGCUUCAGGAGAAGGAGGCGAAGCGCAAGUCCUUCAGCAGGAGGCGCAGGUUCCAUGAAGAGAAGGACAUCGAUUCCAUCAACGACCGCAACGAGCACUUCAACAAGAAGAUCGAGAGGGCCUUCGGGAAGUACACCCUCGAGAUCAAGAACAAUUUGGAAAGGGGAACCGCCCUACCCGACUAAGUACUUCUUCGAUGAAUUGUGUAAUAUUAGUGGCUCGCUCUGUACACCCCUUGAUUUUGCAUUCUCUGUUCAUGUAUUUUAUAGCUUUAAUGAGGGAACAAUGCAUGAAAGGGGUACUUCUAAACUAAAUUUUCUACUCAUUUCUAGUUUCUGCAUUUGCUUCACUUCAGAAUUUAACCGUCCAUUAUAUCUAAAGAAAAUUAUGUAAAGCACACAGUUUGUAGAUUUAGGGGGGAUAUUUUUUAUUUUUUAUUUUUUUUGAGAAUUGGGAGCUUGAUUUUUCGCUACGUGUUCCUGGAAUAACCAAGAACAACAUAAUUCUGAACUAAAUGAUGCUGAAGAUUCGAACACAGUUUUUUUUUUAAAAAAAAGGGAAAAGUCCAUAGGCCAAGGCAUUUAAAAUUUGAAAUCAGAAUACACAAUAUCUGUACGAACAAAAUUUUACAUAAAUUCAAAAUUGUAUCGAAUAUUUUAAUGUACAACCAAAUAAAAUAUCAACCUAUGACGCGAAACUUUUAUCCUUAAAUUUUAAUUCAACUAUGACGCGACACUUUUAUCCUUAAAUUUUAAUUUAUUCUAAUUUCUCACUAGAACUAUAAACUAUGUGAUAUUUUAGUCUUCAAACCUUCUUAAUUGUAACAAUAUAUUACUUAAUGAUGCAAUAAUGAUCAAAAUAUUAGAUUAUUUCGAUUUUACUAAUUCAUCAAUAUCUAUUCAAAAAAAAUGGAUUACGAGACUUUGAUUGCAACAAUUCAAGAAGUUUAAGGACUAAAAUAUCACAAAUCUUACACUUCCAGCUAGAAAUUGCCGUGUAUUAAAGUUUGGGGAUUGCAUUGUCACGGGUCUCAUAGUUUGAGGACCAAAAGUGCAAUUUAUGUCAUAUAUAACGAUAAAAAUAUUCCCUAAAUAAGUUAGCUACUAAUGGGCCGUGGGGCUCGGCCCAUUUAGAAUGGCCCGUAGCCCAUAAAAAUAUCUAUCACUCGUUCACUCACUUCUCUACCAAAUCCCAUCGCAAUAAAAGCGUGCGUGCGACGCAAGAUCGAAAUUCGAACUCUUUCUCCUCCGCCGCGGCGACGAAGCUAGGGUUUCCUCCUCCUCCUCCUCCUCCUCCUCCUCUCGAUUCGCCUCCAUGAUCGCACCUCGAUCUCCAAUCCCUUCCCCCGACAUCUUCCUCUGAUCGAAUCCCUCCUCUUCCGAUUCGAUCCCACGUUUUUUCCCCAAAAUUUUCCAUCUUUUUUUUUUUUUCCCAUUAUGAUUCCAUCUCCUCCUCGCGCGCUCGGUCUCAUCGUCGCUUCCUUCUCCGCCAUCGACAACCUCCGCGUCCUCGGCCCCGGUUUGAAUCCCUUCGCUCCCUUCGGCAUGGGUAACUACUCCGCCUCCCGCUAAUCCUCUUCUCAGGGUUUACUGGGAUUCUUCCGAUAAUAUGUAAAAAGCCCCGGCCUUUCUCGCGGAUCCGGUCGCUUCGUCGCACGAUACACUUUUGAAGACGUAUCGAUCUUCUUCUCUCGAUUGGAGGUGGUAAAGGAGUGUUGGUUUUGUGUAUGCUAUUGAUUUGGAGGGUAUCGAGCUGGUUUGGGGAAUUUGGGGGAUUAUUUCUCGGUUUCGUUUUGGGAGAUAUGGUGCAAGAGCACAAUAGGCAGGUGCCGCGUCGGCAGCUGAGUCGGGGAUCGUCCAACCGGCGUUGCAGCGACAGAGACGAUCGAGGGUGGACGCUACUCCACGUCGGUGCUCGGAAGGGUGAUCUCAAGGAGGUUAGUGUUCUUAUUUAGCAUACAAGUUGAUAAUUUCGUUUUAGAUAGUUCCGUGAUUAAUAAUGUUGACUAGUUGGUGAAAGAUCAGUUAUGGAUUAGCUAAUGACCUUUACUCUGGUUAGAUUCAAAUCUUCACUUUGGUAUAUGCUCUGAAUAUCUUGUGAAAGCAAAUUUUUGUGGAGAACGAAACAAUAAGUAUGUGGCAUACGCCAUUUGUGCAAUGAUUCUCGAUAAAUGAACUAUAGAUUGCUGAAGGGUAGCUAGCCCUAGAAUAAAUAGAUAGCCAUUUGUUUGGUUGGAGUCCCAUUUUUAGCAGUCUCUCAGUAGGAUUGAUGGGUCAGACUCUUGUCUUUCCUCAUUCAAAACUCAUUUCUUUUUCACUUGCAUGAACAGUCUGGCCACCAAUGCUUUGCCUAGUUCGGUAGAUUAUUCGGAUAGGUUAAGGUGCGGAGCGAUACAUUGGCAUAGGGUCUGUUUUAAGAAAAAAAAAAAUGAAUGUGGAGUUCUUGACCACGGAGCCUCCCGUUCUUAUCUGAUUGUAUAUUAGCUUGUCUAAUGGCUUUUAAUCAUAGGCGGCACAUGACUUACUUUUUUCUAUUUAAAUUUCUUUCAUGUGCUCAUAUGCACCUCAUAAGAGAAGCUAGAGUUUAGAGACUCGCCACCAGUUCCCUUUCCUAUGCCCAUACCAUCUCAUAUGUGUUUGAUUUACAUAAUUUGUUAUGUUCUCUUCAGGUGAGGCGCCUUUUGAAUGAAGGCAUGGAUGUCAAUGUGCUUACUUGGGGCCCAAAAACACCUGGUGUUACCCCACUUCAUCUUGCUGCUCAAGGCGGACACCUCAGAGUUAUGGAUGAAUUACUCGACCGUGGUGCAAAUAUCGAUGCUCGAACGAAAGGAGCAUGCGGCUGUAAGUUGAUCUUUCUUCAGUUCCUUAUUCUUGUUGCAAGAAUUUGUUUCUAUUAGGUGGCAUGAGUCAGGUCUGUCGUUGUUUAAUUUCUUUCUCUUUAAUUUUUGGAAAUGAAUUUUUAAUAGUGUUUCUUUUAAUUUUCCUUGUUCUCUCAGAAAAACAACUUCCUCUACACUUCAAGGACCAUUUGAAUAUAGAAAAAGCAUAAUAGUUAUCAAUCUUUCUUAAUCCAACUUUGUUGAACCUUAUUUUAAUUGGUAGGAAUUUGUUGCCGCGUUUACAUGCAUAGAAUGUAUAAAGGGAUCAUUGAUUGCCUUAUGAAUGAUGCAGGUCACAUCCUUCAGUUGAUAGUUUGAUUUUUAUGUUCUUUGUAAUCUAAUGUAGCUUUUCAGUUUGCUUAUGUAAGGUGAUUUCCUUAGGUUUAUUUUGUGUUUAUCUCACAACUGAAUAGUUCUGCAUUAAAAGUUGGAAGAUGACGUGAACAUGAUAUAGUAUAUAAGGACUAGGACACUAGUACUGUUGAGUUUUUCUUGGUCUCAAGCAUCUAAGACCAAGUGUUGAGACUAGUGGGCUAGUUGCGCUGUGAGUAUGGCAUAAGAGCACAUUGAGGUGAUAUGACGUUGGGCCAUCUGAUUGUUCAUCCUUGUUGUUGCUCUCAAUCUCAAUACAAUGGUGAAAUAGCAGAUUGGAGAGACUCUGUCAACCUUGUUUAACUUUUAUGAUAGUCGGAUGUUAUAAAUCUCGUUUUAACUUUUUCGAUUUUCAUAAUAAAUAAUAAAUAUAGAUCAAUGAUCUUUGAUCUUAACUAAAAAUAUUAAGGUGUACGACUCACACAACACUUGCUGUGAGUUUUCUUUAUAUCCUUUAUACGUGUUGACGAUUUGAGAAUAUAUGAUUCCUUCUCACUAAUAACGGAAAUUUUGUUGUCAUUUCUUCUGCAAUACGCUGUUUCCCCUGACGAUGAAACAUGGCUGAUUUUGAUGCCUUUCUGGCAAUUUAGGGACUCCGCUUCACACUGCUGCCAAGGAGAGGAACAAGAGAGCCAUAAAAUUCCUGGUAGAGAACGGUGCAUUCUUGCCCCCUGACAUCGACGACCAACGCUUCAACCCGCCCCUCCACUACUGCCCGGGCCUCGAAUGGGCCUACGAGAUGAAGCGCCUGCAUGACGAUGGCCCGUCUGGUGAAACUUCUUGCAGUUCCGAGAGCUAAGUGAGUACCGAAACCGCCCACCCUUGGUGCUUCUAUCCUAGCAAUGUUGUCUGUGAAAAGAACUCUCGACGAUCGUUAUGUUUGUUCUCAAAAUGGCUUGCUUGUCGGUAUUUCUGUGCCUUACCGAACACCUUAUUAGGGUUUCUACUCUGUAGAAAUAUUGUGCCUUCUUCUGUUUGUCUGUGUUUUUUAGCUGAGAAUGCUGCUGAUCAAGACAUUUAUUCUUAUGCUUGCUGUGUGUUUGUUGUUCUCGUAAACGAUGAGCUGAUAAAUAAUUAUUCAUGGAUUUGAUCCUAUAAUUUACAUCUUUUAUUCUGGGAAAAAAAAAGAGCAUACUUUUGUCAAGUUUCACAUUGGAUUUUUUUAUGUUUGUACAUAACAGAGUUUUCUGUUAACACUAAUGUUUGGAUACACAGUAAAAAAAUCUCCAUGGAAUUUUUAAACGGUGGUUUUGGUCCAAAUAAAAUAGAGAAUUCUGUUAACUCUAAAAAAAAUUUCACGGAUUCAAUUUUUAAACUGUUUGGAUGCAUAUUGUGUAAUUUUACGGGAUUUCUCUAAAUUUUAAAAUUAAAAGUUAAAAUUUUAAAUUUUAAAUUUCAAAUUUGGCCAAUUUGUAUAAAAAAUUCAUUUAUUUUGGGCUUUUGCAAAAUUGGGCCACCUUUUUCGUUUUUGCAGAUUAAGCUAGAUUUUCAGCAAAUUGAUCAAAAUAUUCUUAUUAUUUUCUCUCUUUUUUUUUCUCGUUUUUUUCUCUCUAAAGAAUGCAGUGAUGGCGGAGGCGGCCUCGCUUCUCAUCCUCAUACUCUCGCCCUCACCCACGCACCCUGCGCCUUCCUCGCCUCCGACCUCGUCAAGACUGCAUCGCGACUCCUUUUUUUUCCCCCUCUCCGACCCUCCUCCACCGCCUCUGACGAUGAUGCCUAUCUCACCCUCUCUCAUCCUUCUCGCCCUUUCCUUCUCCCUCCUCCUUCGCCUCCUCCGCCGCCUCCGACGACGACGCCUCUCCGCCCACAUCGGUGCCGCGGAGGUCGCUGUGGCGCCGCAGCCUCGGAGCGGGGGGUCUUUAGCGGCGUCAUCGCCGGCGCCGUGACCGUUGGCGGAGAGAUGUGACAAAAAAAAUGUAGAAAAAGGAAGAAGAAAAAAAUAAAGACAAAAAAAUAUAUAAGAAAGAAGAAAACGGUGAAAUUGCACUGUUAAAAUAAGAUUACACUGUCUUAAAACAAAUUUGCACUGUUUUAAUGAAAAUUGCACUAUUUGAUAUAGAAAUUACACUCUUUUGGAAUGGACUUUACACUCUUUAAGCCAACGUUGCACUAUUUUGGAGAAUUUUGCACCAUUUCUUUUCCUCUUCUUUUUUUCUUUCUCCUCUUUUUCUUCUUCCACUGCUGCCUCCCGCCCGCCCGGCCCGAGCUCCUUUCCCGUUGUCAGGAGCCUCCUCGAGCUCGGCAAUAGCCCACACCGCGCCUUCGCGCGCCUCGCCGCCUGCUACGGGCCCCUCGAGCUCAGCGUGACCACCGUUGUGGCCUCCUCCCCCGCAGAUGGCGACGCCCUCGAGGUGGAGCCAGGCGGCGUUGUAAAUGCCGUGGAAGCGAAGGUGGAGGAGGGAGAGGCGGGGGCAGUUGGCGGCGAAGGAGAGGAGGGCCCCGGAGCGGGGAGGCGCCCUCAUCGCCGGCAACUUCUGGGGCAGUUGGAGGCCCCGAAGCCCGCCGGUGGGUACUUUGUCAUUGUCACCGUUGUCAUGGUCGGCAAGGCCGCCUUUGUCGCUGGCAGCCUCCGCGGCGAGGCCUACAGGAGGGCGGCGGCGCGAUCGGCCCCACGUUGGGAGGCGCUCCUGAUCUUUCGCGNAAAAAAAGAUUUUGGUCCAAUGGACCAAAAUAAUUGGUCCAUUGGACCAAACUACACCUCCCAAGACCUUGGGAGGAGCAGACCACAUGGCCCAAGGCAAAUUGCCUUGGGCCAUGGGGUCCGAGCCCGGCUGGCCCGGCCCAAGCGGGCCGUGCCGUGCCGGGCCGCCUGCUUCCAAUUGGCCCGGCACGGCCCAGGCCCGUUUCGGGCCGUGCCGUGCCGGGCCGUCGGGCUCCAAAACAGCGGCCCAGCACGGGCCCAGAGCCUCGGGCCGGUCCGGCCUGCCACGGGUGCUACAGUGCCCGUGCCGGGCUGUGGCCCGGCCCGAGGCCAUGCCGGACCGGGCGGCCCACGUGCCGCCCGGCCCGUUUUACACCCGUAUCCACACCUCUAUCUCUCUCUCUUUCUCUCUCUCAGACCCUUCCUAGCAGUAGGGCUGGCAAAUGAACGAGCCUCUUUCUCUCUCUCAGACCCUUCCUAGCAGUAGGGCUGGCAAAUGAACGAGCCGGCUCGUGUUCGACUCGCAUUCGACUCGAUAUUUGGCUUGCUCGAGCUCGACUCGAAAUUAAAUGAGUCGAGCUUGAACAAAAAAAGAGCUCGAAAUUUAUUUCAAGCCGAGCUUGAGUAUUACUCAGCUCGUUCGAAUUAGGCUCGAAAAGCUCGAAAAGCUCGAAUAUAUAUAUAUAUAUAUAUAUAUAUAUAUAUAUAUACUAUGUUAUCGAAAGUAUAGAGGAUCUGAUGUUUUCGAUUUUUUGAUUCUUAGAUUAAUACUAUUAUUACCUUGUAAGAACCACUCAAUCCUAGGGGUAUUAUUUAAUCCUGGGGGGAUCGCAAUCAUUCCAACCAUACAAUUCUUAAUCAAAGGGCCAAAAAUUCGAAAAUAUCAAAUCCUUUAUAUUUUCAAUAGCAUAGUAGUUCUACAGUAUAUAUAUUAAAAAAUAUAUAAAUAUAAUAUAUUUUAAUUAUCUGAGUUUAGUUAAAAUUAGGCUAAUGUUGUUGGCCCAUAAAAACAAAUCUAAUAGACAAAUAAAAGAGCGAAAUUUCACUUAAUUUAUACAUUUUUCCUUUCUUUCUUUCUUUUACAGAGCUUAAAUUUUUAAUAUGUUUCUCUUUUUCUCUUUUUCUGUCUCUCACCCUAAGUGGCACCGGAAGCCCUUCAAAUUACCAACUAACAGCAUAUGCUCGUCGUUGCCUACCUUGCUAUUAAUUGUAUACUUGAGAAAAAAUAUACAGAAUAUUUUUAAAGUAAAAAAUUAUUAUUCAUAUAAAAUUUUAAUUUUAAUUAUAUAUGAUUGGAUAGUUUAAUCCAAUAUUUAUCUAUAUAAUUUAUUUAUUUUUGAUUGCAUAAAUGAAAAUGAAUAAUAUGGAGAUUAAAGGCGGAAGAAAAGACAUGUGAGACUGAAAAGAUUAGGAGUAAUGCUUCUAUACUUUUUUUUUUUUGUUACCGUUCAUUCACGUGUAUUCAACGGCUCAGAUUUAGUUUUUUUUUAAAUUGUGACCUGCAAUAGCAGGUCACUCUUGGAGAGGUACCGGUUACCAGGUACCUCAAAAAAGAAUAGUUUUGUCUUUUAAUAUAUGGGCAAUUUAGUCAUUUUACAUCUACUAUAUUUUCAAAAUUUUUAUUUUUUCUUUGUUUCCUUUUUCUCUCUCUAUCUUUCCUUUCAUAAUUUGGCAUUUCAUAUAAGAAAAAUUUCAAAUGAUUUGACAAUAUAAUCAUUGAAUUUAAACUUUAAAUAGUAAUAUAAAAUUCCUCUAAUUUAAAUUUCACUUUUAAAUUUAAAAUUUAAUAUUAUAUUCAAAUUUAUAUUUUAAAAAUUUAAGUUUCAUAUAAAUACUUUGAAAUAUGGUAAACAGAAAUAAUUGUUUGAAUUUUAGUCUUCUGGUUUAGGUUUGGUUUUGGGUUUCGAAAAAUUUGUCAGUUUUGAAUUUGGAUCAUGGAUUUUUGAAUCCGUCGGAGUUCGGAAAUUUAAGUUUGUGAGUUGAUUAGUCAGAUUCGAAUUCAAAUUCCUAACUAUUUGUUUUCUCACCAAUAAUUUCUGAAUCUUUGUUUAAUGUUAAUAUGUUGUAAGGAAUUAUAAUUUAAAAUAUUAUUAAGCUCGGUAACGUUGAGUUAUCAUUCUGUUUAAAAUAGUUUAUUUAUGCUUUACCGGCUUUCGGCUUCAAUAGUUAAAAUCAGAUCUUGAUAGAAUAGGUCAAAGUCUGAUCAGUCAAAUCAAUCGGGUUUCAAUCUAGUUUUUUAAAUCAUGAAUUUAAAAUUCUAAAAUAGUAAUAUGAAAUUCCUGCUAGAGAGAACUAGUUGUAGAAAAUCUACUCUCUAGAGUUUUUUACUGCAUUACGCUUUUAACUGGUGCGAAUAAAACUGUAUAUUAAACUUGAGAAAUUUAGUUUUUAAAUACGUAAUAUGAAAUUCCCUCUAAUAUUUAGAAAUUUCACUUUUAAUUUUAAGUAUUUAAUUUUUAAAAUUUUAAAGUACACGUAUUGAGAAUAAAUAUAUUUCUUAAAAUUUCUAAAAUUCAAAUUAAUGACAUAAUUUGAGAAGCAGCUAAAACAUUUAAGAGUAGAUCCUAAUUAAUGCCAAUAAUUGCAUAAAUUUGGUUAAUAUUAAUUUCUAAAUUAUGUGCAAUUAAUGCAUAAUUUAGACUACUCAAUUAAACAGUUUCUUUAGAUAUUGGUAUUUAUUUUAAUUUACCAAACUACCUUGAAGUAAAAUAAUUCCUUUUACCCUGCUAAGUAUUAAAGUGUAAAUUUUUACCUCUAUUAAUCAACGGUUAAGAUCUUUUUUAUUUUUUUAACAAAGUACGGAAAUCAUUUCUCAAAGAUUAGUAUUAUUCCAUUCAUAAAUAUUUUUUUUCAUAUAUGAUAUUUACUAUAUUUUAUAUAUGUAAUUUGUUGUACUUUGAGACUUUAGUACAUAUUUUGUGUAUCAAAUUAGUAGAUAAUGUCUAUACAAUUAAACUAUUGAAUCGUAUGCAAUGUGAGAAUUUCAAGCCGGCUCGUUUAGGGUUCGAGCUCGCUGGACUCGAGAAUUUCAGGCUGCGCUUCGAGCUCGGCUCAAAUUAAUUUCAAUCCAGGGCUUGAGCUUAAAUUUUAGGCUCCGAAUAAUUUCAAUGCCGAAUUUGAGCCGGGGUAAGCUACGCUCGCGAGCUCGGCUCGUUUUCCACUCGCCCUACCUAGCAAGCACCUCGUCUUCCUCUCUCCCUACCAACAACACAUGGCCGUACGCUCACACACACUCUCUUCGUUCUACUCCUCGUCUCUUCUUCAAUAUGUAUAUUAAUAAAAUUAAUUUUUCUAUAAUAUGUAAUAAAUUAAUUUAUAAUAAUAAAUAAUAUUAUUAUUAAAUAUUUUUGAUCCAUCACAUGUAAUAAAUUAUAUUUAACUAGUGAUGACUCAGAAGAUGAGCUAUAUUGAGUGUCCAGUUCAAAUUUUUGCACAAAGCAUAAAAAAAUUGUGAAACUGAGUUAUACACAUUAUUGAUCGUACCUAUUGAGGACUAUUGAUUUUAGUUCUUAUACUCUUUUAUUUAAUAUUUUAUUUCAGAGCCUUUACCACCAGCAACUGAUCGAGAUAAAAAAAACAUAAUUUAGUAAAUAAUAUUAUUUAUUAUUAUUAAUAAAUUAAAUUUUUUAUUAACAUUAUAAUAAAAACUAAUUAUUAUUAAAUAAAUAUUGAAGAGAGAGAGAGAGAGAGUGUGUGUGUGCGCGUGCAUGUGUGUGUUGGUGGGGAGAGAGGAGAGAGGGUGCUGCUAGGAAGGGUCUGAGAGAGAGAAAGAGGUGUGGGGUUGGGGAGGAGAGAGAAAGAGAGUGAGAAGGGAUCUCAGAAAAUGAGAGAGGAGAGAGAAAAAAAAAAUUUUCUCACUUAAUCUUUUAAUAUGUAUUAAAAGAAAUUAAUUUUUUUUUCUCUAAUCUUUAAAAAUGAGCCUAGAUGGAAUUUUUUUUAAAAAAAAAAGACUAGAUAGAGAAUAUUUUUUUUUGUAAAAAGGCUAGUUAGGUAAAUAGUUCGUUAAAUUUAAGGUAGGGGAACAAGUAAAAUACUAUAAUGAUCUAAGUAAAGAGAGACUGUAAUAAAGAGUUACCUAAAUUUUGGUUGGUCUUUUCGCAGGAAAGAUGCAACGGGAAAUGUUUCUGUCGCGGCGUCGCCGUGAUUGAAAACUUCGUGUACUUCAGGUAGGUCCCGAAAGAAUAAAAAAACUAAACUUUAAGUAGAACUGUAGAAGUUAAGAAAGCAAAAGAGACUCAUCACAAAGGACAGACUUCAGUUCUUAUUUAAAAAAUAAUAAUAAUAAAUCAGUUGGUUGGCUAUCUCUUUCUCUCUAAAAAAAACCCUUAUUUUAAAACCUUUUUUUAUUAUUAUUAUUAUUAUAUAUAUAUAUAUAUAUAUAUAUAUAUAUAUUUUGGUCCUUCUAAAUUUCUAGCUCUUGGAUUUAUUUCUUAAUUACUAAUACUCCUUAGAUCAAAUACUAUUCCACCUAUCACAACCUAUCAUCAUCAUCAUCAUCUCAAUCCUACAUCUCUUCAUCCGAUGGUUAAAAACUCAAAAACAUCACCCUCCAGAUUAUGAGGGCAUGUUGCUCGUAUCCCAAUUUUAAUAUCCAAACUAAUAAUAAUAAUAAUAAUAAUAAUAAUAAUAAUAAAGUCUCCUCAAAUCUACAAAAGAUUGAGAGCUUUGAAUGUGAACACACGAUCAAUCAUCAGUUUGCAAAAGACGGUUCAUUUAAUUUUCCUUCAAUGUGUCGAGUUGAAUGGACGAUCCUUGCUGCCAAACGAAUAUUUAUUAAGUAAUUAGUGGCCUCAUCCAUCAACUAAUACAUCAACGAAUAUUUAUUAAGUAAUUAAAGACUUCAUCCGUCAACUUUAGGUACCAAGUAGGUGGGGGAGGUCCAAGGUCCUUGUUGCCACGUAAGUUGGCGCUGACGUUGACUCAAACCGAUGGUUGUUAUAAUGGUAAAUAGCUGACGUCUAUGUGAAAAAAAUUUUGCCUUGUGGAGAUACACUAAUUUUAUUUUAUUUUAUUUUUACGUCUUUGUGCUACUUUUUAUCUUCUUAGAGGCCGUGUUGCCUCACCCAUGUAGCUAAGUUCAUCUUCUAAAUAAAUAAAGCGGGUAACGUGGUACCUUUUCUUAAAAAUAAAAAAUAAUAAUAAAGAAACUGUUUUCAUCUAAUAAUUAAAUAGUCAAUACCAGGUUGCGGGAAGAAAACCUGAUCAGCUAUUUACAAAUAGUCAAUUUCAAUUCUCCUCCCCGCCCCCUCGAGUGACUUGACAAUUCUAUUAGAUGGCGCAAUCCGGCGACUGCACCAUGCUUUUGCCGUACAGGGCGGGCGGCACCGCCCUCGACGCUCUGAUGGUGGUGGUGUCGGCGAUCAUGGGCCUCCUCGCAGGUCUCCUCCUGGUCCGCGGCCUCCUCGGCAGCCUGUCCGGAGCCGCCACCACGCAUCCCACCGUCCGCUACUUCCUCUGGGUCGUCUUCGCCCUCUUCCUCCCUCUUACCUCGUACAUGUUCUCCGAGGAGAAGAAGCACUCGGACGGAUCCCUCCGGCCGCAGCUCAUCCUGCUGUGGAUGCUCCUCGCCGAGAUCCUCCGCAAGAAGCUCGAAGGCGUCAGCACGAUAAACGCCUCCCCUCUGCAGGGCGUCAACAAGCAGUCGACGUGGGACGCCGUCGACCAGAUCGUGCGCAUCACGUGGCUCGGCUACCUGAUCUACACGCACGCAGUCAAAUGGGGAUUAUUCAUCAUCCUCUGGGCUUUCAGCAUCAUCAAGGUCGCGCAGAGAGUCGCUGCCGUCGAGGUCGCCAAACGCUCCUUCGCCUUGGGGGAAAACCCGCACCUCAUCGUGGGCUACAUGCGCCAAUUGAUGUCCGGAGAACAACAACAACGACAACAAGGACCAGCAGCAACAUUGAGGGCGAUGAAGGCAUGCAAGUACGUGAUCAUGGGAGAAGAAAAGGUGGAGAGAGAGGCGGGCCCUCACGGCUACAGUCUCCAGCUCCCGGUUGACGAAGAGAGGGAGAAAGUGGUGAAGAAGAUGGUGACCGUCGGCGACGUGUGGGAACUGGCUGCAAGCGGCGACGUCCUUUUUGCCUCCCGGCAGCUGAAGCUCAAGGACCUCUGCCUCUCCUUCGCGCUCUAUAAGCUACUGCGGAGGAGGUUCGAGGAGUAUCCGUCUGCUGAGGCCGGCCGCCGCGAGUCCCUUGACUUCUUGCUGUGCGGCUUGCUCGGCGACGACAAGGNGAUAUAUAUAUAUAUAUAUAUAUAUAUAUAUAUAUAUAUAUAUGCAUGACGAAAAUUUAGAAUCUCUUGCCUGCGCCAAUAAUACUUGUGUUAAAAAAUAAUAUGUAAUAACCGAUCGAUCUUCUUCAAAAACUAAAACUAAUUCUAUUGCAGGGGAUCGAACAACGAUACAUAUGAGUUGUAAUAUAUAGUUUUACUGCGUACUUUCAACAGGGUCUUCCGUGUGAUUGAGGACGAGCUCAGCUUCCUCAGCGACUACUACUACUCCACGAUCCCCCUCAUGAUGUCAAAUCUCUGGUUCUUCCUCCUCGACUGCAUGCUCGUGUUCGUCAUCCCGCUCUUCUGCUCGAUCGUGAUCUUUGUCCGCAUCGUCGUUGUGCACGAUGGCCUUAUCUGGUGCCUCUUCCAUCAGCUCAUCAAAGAAAAGGUGACAGUGCCCAUGCUGUAUGAUCCGAUCGUCACCCUCCUCCUCAUCGCCACGUUCUUCUUACUGGAGUAUGCGGAGGUCGUCGUCUACGUGCUCUCCGACUGGGUCAUGGUCUCCCUCCUCUGCACCUACGCGAAGAAGCCGUCGUGGCGGCAAUACGCGAUCGUCCGCCGGGCCCUGACCACGCUGCGGAGGGUGAAGACCUACUUGAAUCGUGCCGAGUUCGAAUUCAACCAGCAUUCUAUGCUAGAACCGCGCGGUCGCACCCUGCAAAUCUUCUCGCAGCUCGUGCUGCGCCGGCGCUUCCUCCUCGUGCAGUCGAUGCUCCUGAAGAUUGUGCUGCACCGCCGGUACCUCGGCGUGCGGUCGACGCCCGUCCCGAAGGAGGUGAAGGCGGCGAUCGUGAAGUAUCUCGUAGACAAUCGAGGCCGCUGCCCCGCUCUGCACAUCGGAGACUCCGUGCUGCGGCGGAACGGGGCAGCAGGAGAGGAGCUCCUGCAGGCUUGCAAGAGCGACGGCGCUGCGGAGACGAUCAUCGUCUGGCACAUCGCCACCUGCCUCUACGAGAUGAAGCACCCGUCGUCCCCACCGUCGCAGGAGAAGCCUCAGCAGGAGUCCGACGUCCACAACAUGCAAGCGAACUGUAGGAUCGCCGAGACGCUGUCCAAGUACUGCAUGUACCUGGUGGCGCUCGCGCCGGAGCUGCUGCCCGACGACGCGGCCUGGACGACAACCGCGUACAAGUCUGCGGUGAAGGAAAUUCAUGAUGCUAUAUUGAAACGGCGUGAUCAUAAAGCGGACAAUUUCGAGCGCGUGACGAGCAUGAAGAAGGUGGACGGGACAGUGGCGGAGAGGGGAGCAGAGCUCGGGCACCAGCUGGUGGAGGCGGUGCUGGAAGAGUCGCUGGUGUGGAUGGUGCUGGCGGAGCUGUGGACGGAGAUCGUGGUCUACAUCGCUCCGUCGGACGACGUCAAGAGCCACGCGCAAGCGCUGGCCCACGGUGGCGAGUUCAUCACCCACAUCUGGGCAUUGCUUACUCACGGCGGCAUUCUCCGGUGGCCCGCUGCUGAUGAGUCUCCGGUGUAAUGAGUUUCCAACUGAUGAUCAGUUAAGCUUUCAUGCAUGCAGUGUUUGUUCUCCUUUUAAGAUGUUUGAGUAGAUCGAGUUCGUUUUGGAACAGGCGUGUGUGGAUUCCAAUGACAUCUUAUUAUUAUUCUACAGGUUCUAGGUCUGGUUUUGAAGUUUGCGCGGUUGUAAUUUGAAAGAUUCAUCAAGUGUGCAUGCAUUAUGAGAGAUCUAUAUUGCCAUGUAAAUAUAAUUAAACAAAAAAAACAAAAUAUCAAUACUCAGAAUUAUAAACAGAAAAAAAAAAAAAAGUUUACAAAUCACUAUAGAAAAAAAAGAGUUAAUUUCAUAUAGGUCCCUACAAACAUAGAAAAUUAUAAAUAUAUUUCUACGAAAUUCAACAUUAUUCAUAUAUUUCUCUAUAAAAGUUUUAAUGUUUUCAAAUAUAUCUCUCUGAUUUGUUAUCGUUAAAGCGCUAUUUAUUUUAUAAGUAAAAUAAUUUUUUUACCAUCACAAAUAUAUCCCUUCAAAAGUUCUAACUGUUAAUUAAAAAAGUGGUAAAAAUGUCAAUUCACCUUAUUAACUAACUUGGGUUAAGUAUUUAAUUUGUGGUUAACUAAAUUUUUCUAACGGCAGAGAUGUAUUUAAAAAUAUUAGAACUUUUGUAAGAACAACAUAUGAAAGUUGAAUUUUGUAAGAAUUAUUUUGCAAUUUACUAUAUUUGUAGGGAUCUGUACGCAAUUAACAAAAGGAAAUUGAUUAAUCAGUAGAAGUAAGAAGUCCCGCUGCAAUAUGAAUGUUGCUAACCGGACCUAAUUGGGUGAUCUGAUUUUUUUUUUUUUUCUGUCUCAGGCACUCUCUUAUAUUUUGUGAAACUGAUGGUUAUUCUUCACCCGCAUGAACCUGAGAAAAUAGUAGGAUCGGUAUCUCUUUAUGUAGCGUUCGGAUCAACUUCUCGUCAAAGUCAUAUUAGAAUUCUAUUUAAUUUAAUUAGAUGAGAAAUAAAUUAGAUAUACUAUAUGAAGCAGUUUUAUAUAUAUUAGGAUUAAUUGUUAUUUAUAAUAAAUUUAAAUUUGAAUAUGAUUAAUUAUGUCACAUUUGUGGAUGACCAAGGACAUUCUCAUUGGAAUGUGUUUAUGGUUACUAUUCGACUAUUUAUCAUAAAAAAAAUACAUAGAAAAUGGAAGAACUUCAGUUUUUAAUUUACUAGUUCUUUAAAUAAAACAACACAAACAAGAAACUUCAGUUCGAAUGGCACUUAGAAUAGUAAUUUUCACUUGAAUUUAAUACAAUUUGAAACCAAAAUUUUUGGAUUAAAUAGCUUCCAAAUAGUAGUAGUAGUAAGACAUUCAACAGAAACUGGGCCAAACAGGCUGUGUCUUAAAAGACAUCUAACAUUCUAGGCAUUUUUAAAUGUGGAAUUUAAUAAAUUUAUUUUUGAAGAAAAUCCAUAUUUUUAAGAACGAUUUUAAUCCAAUCAUGGAUUGUUAUUGACAAAUCUGAUAUAUUGAAUUUAGUCCCGAUAUUCAUCGGAUUCUUUUUUUUCUUGGAGAGAGAAAUGCGCGCAGUAUGCUAUUCGUUUCGUUCAUUUUUAGAAGUGAAGUCAGUUUAAAAUACGAAGCAACUAAACUUCGAAUUUGAGACUAGUCAAGGAUUAGAAAGUUGAUAGCAAACACGAUUUAUUUACUUGGAUAGUAUUUUAGGAUUAAAACAUACCAAGACCUCCCCAACUAUACGCCAAUUUGAAAUAAUCAACAUUUCUCAACUUCAAUUCAUAUAUUUCAGUUAUUUUAGUUCGAUCCAAUUACUUAAACCUAAAAAUAAUAAUAAUUUUGCAGCUUAACCUUUUAAUUUUAAAAACUUAAACUAUUUGAUGAAAAUCCACCAAUUUCAAGCUUGAUUAUCAUUUUUUUUUUUGUUUUAUAUGACUAUAAUUCUACUAAGUAAAUGAUGAAUCUAAAUUAGAUUUUGUACUGCAAAAAAUCACCGCACGACGUAUUUCAAACAAACUACGGGUUUAGCAUCAAAACCAAAAUUUUUAAAAUUAUAUAAGUUGAAUCAAAACUGACCAUAUUUUAGAUAAAUUCUGCUCAUUUUCACAUUUUUGCCAUUUAACUUAAACCAACCAAAGAGGAUAACUAAAGAGGGGGAAAAAAUGAAAGGAAAAAAAAAAGUUAAAAAAAAAGGUGUGUGCAUGGAUGAAUGAAUUUUCCAUGCAUCUCAUCUUUUGUUCUAACCAUUUUUGGACCAACGCAAAUGAAAGGAUCCAAUGCAGGUUGGGGAAGAUGCGCUGUCCACGUCAGUGGUCCUCAGAGAAAGUGUUACCUGGACCCAGUCCACCACGUCAGCCGAAUUAUCAAUUAUAAUUUGUAACCUUUAAAUCUAAGAAUUAUAAAUUACACAGAUGAAAUCAUUAAGCUUGGCUUAAAUGAUGUUGGGCUAGUGUUAUCAGAAGAAUCAAUAGCUAUGCUGACCAUAUUUUUAAUAAGACAGAAUCGUAGCAGAAAAUUACAGCUUUUGCUUUUUAAAAUUCUGUGUUUUAUCAUUUGCGAAUGUUUUUUAAAAUUUAUUGGAGUUGAUUCUGCAAGCUGUGUAGAAACUGAGAAAGCUAUAUGAGGCCCGUUCGUUGUAGUUAUAAAUGCAUUAACAUUUUGAAAUAAAUAUAAAUUUAAUAUGGAUUUGAUGUAUUUGAAUUCAACUACAUCCAAAUUAGUAGCAUAGUUGAAACUAUACAAAGAGAUUCUAAGAAAUAAAAAAGAACAAUAAUAGUUUAAACAACGCUCAAAUUGGCGGUAAUUUCAACUACAGCAAUUGUAGAGAAUAAACUUAAACGAAAGAUAAACUUACAUAAAAUUAUCUUUUAUAAAGUGUAAUUUUAUUUUCUUAUAUAUAAAAUUGGAUUAAUUUAAUACAGAUUUCUGCAAACAUAGUGAAUGACAAAUAUAUAUCUCUAUAAAGUCAAAUUUUAGAUAUUGUCUCUACAAAAGUCCUGAUGUUUUCUAAUAUAUCCAUUCCGUUAGAAUCCGUUCAUAAAAUUUAGUUAACUAUAGGUUAAAUACUUAACCAUGGUUAGAUUUUGAUAUUUUUAUCUCUUUUUUAUUAUACUGUUAUGAUUUUUGAAGAAACAUAUUUGUGAUGGCGAAAUUACAAAUAUAAACCAUUCUUUAAAGUUUCUCUAAUAGUAACAAAUUAGAGGAAUAUCUUUGAAAAUAUAAGGAGUUUUAUAGAAACAAUAUAUGAAAGUUGAACUUUAUAGGAAUAUUUUUAUUAUUCUAGAUACUAAUAUAAAAUUAACCCUCUAAAAUAAUAAUAUUUAUAAAUAUGUAUUUUUAACUGUACUAUAUCUAUAAAACUAUGUACAGCCAAAUAACCUCUAAUAAAAUUUAGGUCGCCUCAAAAAUAUUGGUCUACGGUGUACCGAGCGCACGCAAUAAAAAUUUUUGCGGUGGCCCCCACACGCAAAGAGAGGCAAAGAGAGGCACGCAAUAAAAAUGCGGUGCAGUGGGGUUAGGGGUGGAAACGAGCCGAGCUCGAGCGAGCUUAUGUCAGCUCAAAUUCGGCUUGAAAUUAAUUUCGAGCCUAAAUCUAGGCUCAAGCUCGGCUUGAAAUUAAUUCGAGCCGAGCUCGAGCGAGCCUAAUUUCGAGUCGAGCCGAGCUCGAGCUCUAAACGAGCCGAUUGAAAUUCUUGACAUUAUAUAAUCAAUAGUUUAAUUUUUAUAGAACAUUACCUACAAUUUGAUGCAACAUGUCUAAUAGUUCAAAAUGCAAAAUAAUUGCAAGAAAUGUGAGCUAGGGUGACUGCCUGACUGGGUGAGGGUCUGAGGGAGAAUGAGAGAGAGAGAGAGAGGGGAAAAAAAAUAGGGAUUUGGAAAUUUGAAUGUUAUCAUGUUUUAGGGUUAUGUGCAACAGUGAAAGCCUGAAAGAGAGUGUGUUAGGUAAAUUUAGAGUUGGGCUCAAUUGCAUGGUUGUACUUGUUGGGUUUAUUUUAUGCGUCAACAAUAAUGGCCCAAAUUAAAUUAAAGCCUAUAUAUAAUUAAAAUACAUUAUAUAUAUAUAUAUAUAUUCGAGCUUUUUGAGCUUUUCGAGCCUAAUUCGAACGAGCUGAGUAAUACUCAAGCUCGGCUCAUUUAAUUUCGAGUCGAGCUCGAGUGAGCCGAAUAUCGAGCCGAACACGAGUCGAACGCGAGCCGGCUCGCUCGUUUGCCAGCCCUAGUCUAUAGCACUACUUUUAGUAACUUGGCUUUAGCAUGUAUAGAAAGUACGGAUCAAGCAUGUAAAAAUGUAGUAUGUUAUACUUUGUUGUUAUCUUGAUAUUAUAGUUAACAAAGAACAUGAAUCAAGCUACCUACUUAUGGGGUUUAUUAAGUCUCUUAAGCUAUGACGGCUUCCAACAGUAUAAUUCUUCAGUUUCGAUAAUCGGAUGUUAUAAAUCUUGUUUAACUUUUUCGAUUUUCAUUGUAAAUAAAUAUAGAUCGCUGAUCUUUGAUCUUAACUAAAAAAUUUAAAGGUGUACGACUCACACACAACACUUGCUGUGAGUUUUCUUUAUAUCCUUCAUACCUGUUGAAGAUAUGAGAAUAUUUGAUUUUUUCUCACCAGUAAUCACAGAAAUUUUUGCUAUCAUUUCUUCUGCAAUAUACUGUUACCCCUGACGAUGGAACAUGGCUGAUUUCGAUGCCUUUCUGGCAAUUUAGGGACUCCGCUUCACACUGCUGCCAAAGAGAGGAACAAGAAAGCCAUAAAAUUCCUGUUGGAGAACGGCGCGUUCUUGCCCCCUAACAUCGACGACCAACGCUUCAACCCGCCUCUCCACUACUGCCCGGGCCUCGAUUGGGCCUACGAGAUAAAGUGCCUGCAUGACGAUGGCCCGUCUGGCGAAACUUCUUGCAGUUCCGAGAGCUAAGUGAGUACCGAAACCGCCCACCCUUGGUGCUUCUAUCAUAGUAAUGUUGUCUGUGAAAGAACUCUCGAUGAUCGUUAUGUUUGUUCUCAAAUGGCUUGCUUGUCGGUAUUUCUGUGCCUUACCGGACACCUUUAGGGUUUCUACUCUGUAGAAAUAUUGUGCCUUCUUCUGUUUGCCUGUGUUUUAGCUGAGAAUGCUGCUGAUCAAGACAUUUAUUCUUAUGCUUGCUAUGUAUUUGUUGUUCUCGUAAAUGAUGAACUGAUAAAUAAAUAAUUAUUCAUGGAUUUGUUCCUAAAAUUUAUUUCUUUUAUUUCUGGACCAAAAUAAAAGGCAUACUUUUGUCAAGUUUCACAUUGGGUUUUUUUAUGUUUGUACAUAACAGAGUUUUCUGGUAACACUAAAUUUGAAUGCAGUAAAUUUCAAAGCAUCAAGAGGGUUUUUUUUUUUUUUUUUUUUUUUUUUUUUUUUUUUUUUUUUUUUUUUUUUUUUUUUUUUUUUUUUUUUUUUUUUUUUUUUUUUUUUUUUUUUUUUUUUUUUUUUUUUUUUUUUUUUUUUUUUUUUUUUUUUUUUUUUUUUUUUUUUUUUUUUUUUUUUUUUUUUUUUUUUUUUUUUUUUUUUUUUUUUUUUUUUUUUUUUUUUUUUUUUUUUUUUUUUUUUUUUUUUUUUUUUUUUUUUUUUUUUUUUUUUUUUUUUUUUUUUUUUUUUUUUUUUUUUUUUUUUUUUUUUUUUUUUUUUUUUUUUUUUUUUUUUUUUUUUUUUUUUUUUUUUUUUUUUUUUUUUUUUUUUUUUUUUUUUUUUUUUUUUUUUUUUUUUUUUUUUUUUUUUUUUUUUUUUUUUUUUUUUUUUUUUUUUUUUUUUUUUUUUUUUUUUUUUUUUUUUUUUUUUUUUUUUUUUUUUUUUUUUUUUUUUUUUUUUUUUUUUUUUUUUUUUUUUUUUUUUUUUUUUUUUUUUUUUUUUUUUUUAUUUGUGCACCACCUCAUGUAUCACCAAACUCUCUAGUUUACUUUUGAAUUUUAUUGCGGCUCGUAUAUUUUGCAAUAACAAAUUUUGAACUUGGUAAACUUUUUCCAUUUCCGCAUUAAAACAGAAAAGAAAAAAAUCUUAAUCUGUGUUUUUUUCUGGUGUUGAAAUUUAAUUGUGAACAAAUCGGUUCGCUUGUUAUUUUUCUCUCUGAAAAAAAAAAAAAAAAACCCAAAACUUGUUUUGAAGCCUCCUUUUUUAUACUUACAUAUAUCACCAAAAAAAUAAUAUUUUCAGAGCUAAAUUUGAUACUGCUUUUAUUUCUCAAAAAAUAAAUGAAUCGGUUAGCUCAAAAAACACCUUGACCCCUCCCAUUAAUAUUUUGGGAGUUAAAUUUGUGGUAGGGAACAAGUGGAAUACUAUAUAAUGAUCUCAAGUAAAGAGAGACAGUGAAGAGUUAUCUAAAUUUUGGUGGUCUUUUCGCAGGAAAGAUGCAAUGGGAAAUGUUUCUGUCACCAUCUUAAAAAGAUUGAAAACUUCGUGAACUUCAGAUAGGUCCCGAAAGAAUAAAAAAAAAGUAAACUUUAAGUAAAAGUUAAGAAAGCAAAAGAGACUCCUCACAAAGGACAGACCUCAGUUCUUAUUUUAGCAAAAAAAAAAACGAAUUGUUAGGCUCGCUAUCUUUCUCUCUCUAAAAAAAACCCCUUAAUUUUAAAGCUUAUAUAUAUAAUAAUAUAUAUAUAUAUAUAUUAUAUUAUUAUAUAAUAUAAUAGAAUAAGGCUAAAACUUAUUAAUAGCACCAAAUCAUUGGUGCUACCAAGUUUUUGGCCCUAGGAUUAAGAGAUGUACGGUUAUGAUGAUGUGUGCCCUCUAAGGUUGAGUGGGUGGUUGGUUGAAUAAUAUGAUCUAACGGGUGAAAAUAAUUAAAAGGGUAGAUCUAACGGCGGAAAACUUGGUAGCACAAAUUGCUUCGUGUUAUUAAUAGCAUAGUAACCGAACUCUAUCUCUCUAUAUAUAUAAUCUAGCUAUUGUUUUUUUAGGAAGACAUAGGUUAUCGUCCUGCAAAGUCGUUUUAGAUGAUAGAAAUUUUGAAUCGACAAUCGGAAUCGCCAAAGUUGAUCUAGACUAUUUAUAAUGUUUAGAUUAGAAACUAAAUUUCAUAAAUUUUAAAAUUCGUUGCUAAGUUUAUUGAAUAGUCGAAAAAUGAACGGUCAAAAACGAAUAAUCUCGUGAAAAUAAAUAUUAGACUUUUACAAUUUAUGAUUAGAAUUAUCAAAUAUUAUCUAAAUGAUACAAAAAAUUUUCUAUCAAAAAUUUAAGCUGUUUGGAUUGUUCUACGCCAUUAAACAAGCAAACGGCUCGUAUAGACCAUAAAAAACUAUCAAUUUUUUGAUCCUUGAAUCACUAAAUAAAUAAUUUUUAAUUUAUUUUUUAGACACUUUAAAUACUCUAGAUCAAUUUUAAUAGUUUCGAUCAUCAAUUUCGAAAUCUCCAUCAUCUAAAACGAUUUAGAAGAACAAAAACCUCCGUCCUCUUAAAAGGAUAGUAGCUGGAUUUAUAUUUCCAACUAAGGCUUAGAAGUCAUUACUUUUGGUUUUCAAACUGUAAGGCUUGUAAUAUCCUUCUUCUUAAAUUUUUAUUUAUUUUCAUUUGAUUUCGAAUAUCAAUUAUUAAGUCCUUUGUCACCGACACUAAAGACAAUCAAUUACUGAAUAGGUCAGUAAAAUUUGCAUCAAUUAUAAGUCGAUUUGAUCAUUUGUUAGAUAAUAUUGGGGGAAAAAAUUUUAUUAAAUACUAAACUCUUUCUACUGAUCAGUAGAACGUGUGUCGAUUUUAUGUUGAUUCGAUCAAUUAUUAGAUUAACGUUAAUGUUAUAUGGCUCCAAUAACUCCUAUCUUAAAUGAAUAGCAAAAUUACAAAAAAAUUCUGCGCACGAGACUGUAAAUGAUAUAUCCCAAGCUUGUGGCGCUUCGACUAUCCAGAAAUAUACAGAAAGACGCAACAGCCAUUGCAUAUCAAAUAACCCCAAAGUGACAGAAAAAAUGACAUCAGGGAUGAUCAAAUCAGAGGUGCUUCUGAAUCCACUGCCACCCCCAGCUACAUACAGAAAACUGGUAUCAUGGGCAUGUUGCUCACAUCCCAAUUUCAAUAUCCAAACUAAUAAUGAAUAAUAAUAAAUAAUAAUAGUAAUAACAAUUAAAAGUCUCCUCAAAUCUACAAGGAUUGAGAGCUAUGAAUGUAGACACAGCACCCAUCAAUCAGUAUGGAAAAGACCCUUCAUUUAAUUUUCCUUCAAUGUGUAAAGUUGAAUGCCCCUUUCCAAUGUGACUGGGACCCUUUAUUUUAUUUUAUUUUAUUUGUGCACAUGAUGCAACCAUGUAUAGGGUGCAUUAAUUGCAAUUGUGAGAAAAAAUUUUUGCAAAAUUGAGAAAACUAGAAGCUCUGUGUGUGUUUGUGUGUGAACUUGUGCAAUGCCAUUGGUUUAAAAUAUUUCAUACCAGUGAUUGAAUGAUAUUGAUGGUAAAGGGACAAAAGAUACUUUCUAGAGAAGCAUGACUUAAAAGCUGGUUAUAAAAUUCAGUUGAGUUGGAUGUUUCAAAUUUUGUUGAGACCAAAAAAUUUUUAAAUUGGCAUAAAUUUUUAUUUGAGUGCAGUGUCUGAUUUCAGCGUGUAUCCAAUUUGAAAAAUAUUUUUCGAGAUCUACGCGUCGGACCGCAAAAUAGUUCUAGCCGAGUUUGGGGCUCAAAUUUAACAGUUUAGCCCUCUAUUUUUAUAUUUUUAGGUUAUUUUGUAAAACUUUGUAUUUUUUUCUAUUUUGCUUCUGAUUAUUUGAUUAUUUUUAUUCGGUUUAAGUUGCGAAAUAUAUUUUAAAUUACAAUUUAUUAUUAGGAUUCAGGAAUGUAUAUAUACAUGUGCGUGACAUUCACUUAGUGUAAUUAAGUUUAAGAACAAUUACAUGAACAAAGAUUAAGGUGAUUGGUCACAUGUGGCAAAUCUAAUCCUGUUGGGAAUCCGGUAUUCGCCCCGGUACCGGAUCUUGUGAAUCCGCAACCCGCUCCGAUACCGACUGCUGUGGAUUCGGUACCGAUUGUUGGGAUUCCGCAACGAAAACGUCAAAUCGAGUUUUUACCAUAAACCCAUCUCCUCAGCAAAAACUGAUACAAUCAUAAAAGAGAGAAAAAAUCAAAACAGAAAAUAUGCGGGUAAAACAAGAUUCAUUAAAUAAGAGAAGAUUACACGUCACUCCUUUUCUGCACAGAGUAGCUGCAACCCGAGCCCUCUUUUUGAAUCUCUCCUACCCUUCUCUUAUCUUCUAUAAUCCCACAAAGAAGACAAUCCUCCACGCGCACCCAUGCACUAGGUGCACUCAACUCAUUAACUGUGACGCACUGGACCUUGCAAAUUGUGGGGUUCGAGUGAUUGAAUAUGUUCUGAGCUUUUCCAGACUUUUUGGGGGGUCGUUGACAGUGUUUCGACCUAUGGUUUGAGUCCCGAGAAUGGUGGUUUAAAAUCUUGCAUCAAAAUCCAAAAAGUUGAAUUUUUGAUUAGCUCUCGGGUAGCCUUCUGCAGGCUGUGUACCGGUACGGGUUCGCUUGCUGUACCGGUACGGGGUUGAUGGCUGUACCGGUACGGGGUUGUGUACCGGAACACAGGCCAUUUUCCAGCAAACCCGAGGCUCGGGUUUGGCGUUUCGUGGGUUGUGUACCGGUACACAAACCUGUGUACCGGUACGCAGUACAGAUUUUGGCUGUUUCGUGGAGGGGUGUUUUUGCAAUUGUUGCAACAUCUAUUUAAGCACACUCCAGCCCCUUGGGGGCUGUUUUGAGCCCUAGAACAGUGAAGAGCAAGGUAAGAGGAGUUCCCUUUGAUUUCUUCUUAAUUUUUGAUGGAUUUUGGUUGGUUUUGACCUCUCCUCUCUUCUCCACCUUGCUUUUUGUUGGGUUUCCUCCAUUGUUGAAGGCUUGGAGCUUGUAGAGGAGCUUGUUUGAGAUGAGAUCUUCAACUUCACUUGGUUUGGGACUUGGUUUUGAGCUUCUUGUGAGGUUGGUAAGCCUUAUCUUUUCUUUGGAUUAAGUUUUGGUAGCUUCUACUAGAUCAAAUCCUAGAUUUGGCAUAUUAGGGUUAAAAAUGAAGAUUUUUGAUUUGAGGGCUUCGUCUACCGUUGGUGGGUUUGACUUCAUGAAAAUGGGGCAAAAUGGCCCCUAUUUCUUCUAAACUUUUCGUAAAGUAUUUUCGAAUGCAAAUUCAUGCUAAACAUGAUUUAUGUGAAUUUUAGAACACUUAACAUGAUGCCUCAUGUAUCGUAAAAUUUGUACUCCAUAUAGUAGAGCUAUAGGUGUAGAUUGCAUGCAAUGUGGAUAGUGCUUGGUGUUGCAAGUUGAGAACAUGUCUCCAUGCUAGAAUUCAGUGAAUUAUGCAUCAUGAACAUAUUAAUGCCAUGCUUGAAACUCGUUGAACAAAAGUGUCAUAAAGGAGCACUUGGAAUUAGUAAAUUAUGAAAAAACAACUUAGAGACAUGAUAAUAGGCCAUUGUUUAUCUGCUAUAUUCCAUGUUAGAGAUAUGAUGACAUAGAGAUAGGCUAUUGAGAUACUUGAUAUAUUCCAUGUUUUAGACAUGAGGACUUGGUGCUUGAGACAGAUCAUUGCUUGCUUGCCAUUGUGCUCAUCGCAUAUGCUUGUGAGGGUCGCUCCCUACAAGCGGGCACUCCGGAGAUAGCCAUCGCGACAUAUGCUCGCCCGUGCGGGAUUGGGCGCCGAAGUGGAUUGCCGUGGGGGAGGCUCAUCCCUAGAGUGGGGAUGUUGACUACCACGGGGCCAUUAGGCACGGCGCAUGCCAGACAGCCUUCGGGUGGGUCUUAUAUGAUUGGAACUUAGUGACAGAACAUGCUAUGUGAACUUUAAAACUAUUAAAGUGGACUUGAACUAGAAUAGUAAACAAUGACAUUUUUACUAUUUUUGCAUCGAGGAUAUCGGAUUGGUUGCAUAUCUAUGCUUAUGCAUGUCAUACACAUCCAUGCACAUUCAUGAUAUCGUUACUUUAUUACUUAAGCAAAUCAUGCUAAGUAGAGACUCUAUGUUAUAGUAAGUUACAUUUUACUUACCUUUCGCUUUACUACAUUGUUAGUCACUAACCUCUUUUCGUAGCUUUUGGGCCUUGUGGCGCAGUUCACUGAAGUCAGUAAUUGUCCACUAGGAACUAUUUUUAAUAGUUCUCACGCCCAUGUUUUCUGGUUUUCUUUCAGAGCCUUCUGCACCGGCGGAGGCACGGGAUCGCGGCAAGGGGAUCGCAUAGCUAGCUAGCGAGGAGCGGUUCUUUGCCUAAGUGGUUUACUCUUUCUUUUUGUCGUUGAGAGAGAGCGAGAGAUUUUAUAUUCAUGUAUAGAGACCACCUAUGUAUCUAUUUUUGGCACUUGUAUUUGGAAUUUUUUUUGUUCUACUGUAUGCUUUUAUUAGUGGAUUUCAGCUUUACUCUUCUUAUUUUGAUGUAGAAUUUAGAGUUUAAUCAUGCUUUGAUACUCCUAAAUGUCUUUUAUUAUUGCUUUAUUUAUCAUUGUUUUAGACGCCUUAUAUGUGUUAGACGUAUGGCGGGUCUGGGCACGUGCCGGGCGGGCCUCCGCUGGGCCCCGGGGCGUGACAUUAACUCUCUCUCUCUUUCACUUUUUCUCUCGGGUACGACACACCCCACAAGAGACUAUUUUUUUCUCUUUCAGGUACGGCACCCCACAAGGCUCUGCCUACUACUCGGAAGACCAGCCUUAAUUAACUGGCCGUACCAUCUCCCCAAAAAGAGACUCUAAUGCAUUAUAUAUAAUGCUCCAUCAAGAAUGUACCCAAUCCUAAUAUAUUUAGGAUUCAUACUUUAAUUAAUAUCUAAAUCUAUUCUUAAUCAAUCUCUAAUAGAUUUAAAUAUUAAUUCUAAUCUAGUUAGGUUUAUCCUCUAAUUAAUAUUUAAAUCUUGAUUUAUCUUCAACAGAUUUAAAUAUUAAUUCUAAUCCAAAUAGGAUUCAAUUACAAAUCUAACCAAAUCCUAACAAUCUCCACCUUGGUUGGAUUUGUAAUCUUCAACCGUCACGUCGAGCUCACCAUGCAAGCUCCACCUUAAGCUUGUCUCCUCCGCUCGAUGUCGUCGCAUCCGCCGCUCCGCCUCGAGCGACUGCUCAUCCGCGAACUUUUUGCUUCCGUUCUGACUAUGCUCCCGUUCAGAACGUAUAAGUUCCCGUGCUUGUUCGCCUCGCACAUGACCCGAUCUCAUUUUCGGACUCUCAUAGCUCCACCUGAAGCCGAAAUAUCGCAACCCUUCGAGUCCAAUGCGCCUAACGAGAUCAAAUUUCGCUUCAAUCCAGGAACGUACCGCACACCUGUCAGCGUCCUCACGACCCCAUCGUGCAUUCGGAUCUUCACCGUACCGACUCCCAAAACUUUGCACGUCGUCCCGUUCCCCAUUAGAGCUUUUCUACCUUUGAUCGCCUUAUAGGUUGCAAAAGACUCCUUCUCCGGGCAUACGUAAAAAAAACACGCCGAAUCGAGCACCCACGCGUCAUCCGAAAUUUUCGCACCUCCGGUCGCCGCAUAUAGCACAUCAAAAUCAAACAUCUCCGACUCUGCCGUCUGUGCCGUCGUUGAUACCGUCUCGUCCUGGUUCACGACAGUUUUCUCCUUUUGUCGCUUUAACUCCUUCAGAUCAUUCUGAAGUUUUCGACAGUUGCGCUUUAUAUGCCAUUUCCUGUGACAAUAAAAGCACUCCACCUCAGAUAGCGACUUCUUCUGUCGAUCUCCGGUCGCUGAUGUUGUCGCCUCCUUCUUCACUCUCACCACCAAAGCUGUAUCCCGGUUCUGUGUGCCGGACUCCUGAGUCAUCUUCCGCAUCUCGUUUGAGAGAAGCGCCGCCGUGACCGCCUCCACGCUUAUGGUCUCCUUGCCAUAAAGUAACGUGGUCACCAGAUGCUCAUAUGUCGCCGGUAGCGAAGAUAGUAAAAUCAGCGUCUUAUCUUCGUCAUCCAGAUUGACUCCGAUGCUAGUCAACUGGGCCACCACCUUGUUAAACUCGUUCAGAUGCUCAUGUAGGCUUGCCGCUUCUUGCAUCCGCAGCGUAAACAGUCGCUGCUUCAGAUACAACCUGUUCGUUAAGGAUUUGGUCAUAUACAGAUCUUCCAGUUUCUUCCACAACUUCGCCGGUGUCGUCUCGCUGGCUACGUUGUAAAGAACCUCAUCUGCUAAUAAUAGAUGAAGCGUACUCAGCGCCUUCCGCUCCAUCUUCGUCCAUGCCGUAUCCGUGACCUCCGCCGGCUUCGCCUCUUUUCCGUUCAACGUUUCAUCUAACUCUUGCUGUACGAGGAUCGCUCGUACUUUAAUUUGCCACAAUCCGAAAUUGUUCUUGCCGUCGAACUUCUCGAUUUCGAAUUUCGUGGCCAUCUUUGUCGAUCUCUCCCUCGGAUCGAUAACCUUCAGCUCUGAUACCACUUGUUGGGAAUCCGGUACUCGCCCCGGUACCGGAUCUUGUGAAUCCGCAACCCGCUCCGAUACCGACUGCUGUGGAUUCGGUACCGAUUGUUGGGAUUCCGCAACGGAAACGUCAAAUCGGGUUUUUACUAUAAACCCGUCUCCUCAGCAAAAACUGAUACAAUCAUAAAAGAGAGAAAAAAUCAAAACAGAAAAUAUGCGGGCAAAACAAGAUUCAAUAAAUAAGAGAAGAUUACACCUGACUCCUCUUCUGCACAGAGUAGCUAUAACCCGAGUCCUCUUUUUGAAUCUCUCCUACCCUUCUCUCGUCUUCUAUAAUCCCAUAAAGAAGACAAUCCUCCACGCGCACCCGUGCACUAGGUGCACUCAACUCAUUAACUCUCUCUCUCUCUUUCACUUUUUCUCUCGAGUACGACACACCCCACAAGAGACUCUUUUUUCUCUUUCAGGUACGGCACCCCACAAGGCUCUGCCUACUACUCGGAAGACCAGCCUUAAUUAACUGGCCGUACCAUCUCCCCAAAAAGAGACUCUAAUGCAUUAUAUAUGAUGCUCCAUCAAAAAUGUACCAAAUCUUAAUAUAUUUAGAAUUCAUACUUUAAUUAAUAUCUAAAUCUAUUCUUAAUCAAUCUCUAAUAGAUUUAAAUAUUAAUUCUAAUCUAGUUAGAUUUAUCCUCUAAUUAAUAUUUCAAUCUUGAUUUAUCUCCAACAGAUUUAAAUAUUAAUUCUAAUUCAAAUAGGAUUCAAUUACAAAUCUAACUAAAUCCUAACAAAUCCCUUCCCAUAAAAGUGAUAGUUAGAAAUGUUAGUUAUUAUGAAUGCAACAAAAAAAAAGUACAUCUAAAAAACAUUUUCCUAAUAAAUCAUAAUUAGUUAAACUAGUGGGUGACAUUUUGCAUGAAGCAAGCUUCAUUUGACCAGUGGAAGGUGCUCUUCCAAAAAAGUUAUUUCAACUUAUUUAUUCCUUUUUUUUAUCUUCAUUUGUACAUAGUUGACUAUAAUUUUCUACAUAAGUGUUUUAAAAUUAUCUGCAAAAAGUGGUAAUUAAUUUUUUUUUUAUUUCAUAAGUAGAGGAGCCUAAUUUGCCACAUCCACCACAUACCAAGAGAUAGGAUUUUGUGAAUUUUAAUUAUUCCCUUUUUUAAUUGGUACCAGUUGGACAAGAUCAAUAUCAUUAUGCAAACUCAAAAUUACAAAAUUUAUAGUAGUUAAAUAUAUACUAAAUUAAGUUGGUAUAUAAGAGUCCAAGGAUAUGUUUAGUUUUGAUAUUUUAUUUGAAGUUGAUAGACAAAACAAGAUUAGGGUGAAAGAAUAAAAAAUAUGCUUGUUUAUGUUCGAUAUGAUCAUAAAAACUGUAUCGUAAAUAACUUUUACGUAAACAGGCAACAUACUUUUCUAUUACAUUUUUUUUUUAUCAGUCACAUAGAGUGACUGUUGUAUUAUGCUUCUCUCUUCAAAAAAUAGGUUUGAUUUGUUUUAAAAAAAUUGGUUUGAUUAGUUAGAAUAAAAAUAACAUAGAGUGACUGUUCUAUAAUAGGCUUUUUCUAUAGUAUGAGGACCAAAAGUGUGAUUUAAUCAUUUUUAAAUUAAGGGGCUAUUUGGUUGCACGCAUUUGUACCUACACUGCAGUUGCAAAUGCAUACAAUCUCAAUUUCUGUGUUUGGUUUAAUACAGUUGCGUCCAACUGCUGCAGUUGCAAUUGUAUAAGAAAGUCAAAACAAAGUAGUUGAAACUACAUCUAAAUUGACUGCAGUUCUAACUGCAGUAGUUGGUGAGGAAUAGGAUCACCCACAAAUUAACAAUAAUAAAUAAAUAAAUAAAUCGCUAAAUAAAGUUUAUAUAUAUAUAUAUAUAUAUAUAUAUAUAUAUAAAUUAUACGAUAUAUAAAUAUAUAAUAUAUAAAUACUUGUAAAUAAACUCAUAUUGAUAAAAUUUUUAGGUAAUACAAGCUUGUGGCAAAAAUAAAUUUUUUUAAUUUUUUUAUUUAAAAUAAAAAUAUAGUUUUUUUUUUCUAAAAUUUCAUAAAACGAAUUGUGAAUGUUAACUUAAUAAGUUUUAAUUAAUUAUAAUUAUUAAAUUUGAUAAAAAAAAAAGAGAGAAUCAUUUAAAUUUUUAAAUUUUGAUUUACAUAUUAAAAUUAAAUAAAUCAAAAUUUUUAAAUGUAUCGGUUAUUUAAUUAUUGAAAAAUAUAAAAAUAUUACAUAUAUCCACUUAUUUAUUUAUAGACAGUAAGUUUAAAUGAUUAAUAAAAUUAUACAAUUAUUUUAUGCAUAGUGAAGGUAAUCUCACCAAUCUAUCAAAAGAGGCGACAAGAUUCACAAAUACAAUUAUUAGCUUCACAUUACUAAACAGAAGAAAUGCAUACGUGUAAUUAUAACUAUUAUAAUUUUAACUAUAUAUAUUUUUAACUAUUCUGUAUUUACAACUAUAUCCAACCAAAUAGCCCUAAAAUGACGCUCGAAGGGUUGGAACCAUCCUUACAAAACAUUAUAAAAUUAACUUUAUUAUUACAUAACCCCCAAUUGUUAAUAAAACAAAAGCCAAGGGGAAAAAAAAAGAUAAAAGAAAAGGUAUUUAAUAAGCAACCACAGCUGCUACUUGAGAUGUGGAGAGUCAAUUAAAAGCAAAAUAUAUAAAAAAACCAAAAAAAACCAUCUCUUUUUAUUAUUUAUUUAUUUAUUUAUUCCCCAAAAAGGCAACGCAUGUUUGAUACCUUGACUGCGCCACGUGCUCCUUCGCACGUGGAUUGCCGUCCCCUCACCACCACAGAGGAAAAAAAUAAAAUAAACAAAUUAUUAUUAAUUAACAUAAAAAUAUAACAUAACAAUCACAUAAUACGAAACAAAAAAGAUGAUUUUAUAAUAGUUAUAAUUAUUAUUAUUAUGACAAUAUCGAGCGGCUAUGAUUCGGGGCGGCCCAUCCGCGGCAACACGUGUACGGCGAGCACGCGCUUCCCGGGCGGCGGCUCCACCACCCACGUGCGCGGCGGCGGCGUCGGCGUCCCCGGCUCCGGCGAGGAGGAGGAGACGUCGACGACGAGGACGGCGCCGCCGCAUCCGGUGACGACGCAGACCCUGCCCCCGCCGGCGGCCACCUGGGCGGCGCCGCGGAGCAGCUCCGGCGCGUCGAGCAGCGUCUCCCACCGGUCCCCGCCCCAGUCGUAGGCCCGGAGCGCCCCCGCGCCCUCGUCCACCACGUACAUGGCAGCUUCGGCGUCGUCGUCGUCGUCGUCUCCGGCGGCGGCGGCGACGGGGCCGGACCAGCCGGCGAGCAUGCCGGGGGGCAUGGGCUCCCAGGCGCGGCGGCGGAGGUCGAGGACGGCCCCCUGCUUGGGGCCGCGGCCGCGCAGGUUGACCAUGCAGAGCUUGCCCCGCGCGCCCACGGCCUCGGCGGCGUCGCGGCUGAAGCGCCCGUCCCGGAGCGGCGGGAGCGGCGCCCACGCGCCGUCCCGCGGGUGCCAGAGCGCGGCGGAGCGGGCGAGGGCGGGGUCGUGUGGGCGGGGCCCGACGCCGCUCGCCAGGAAGACCCCGCCCCCGCCCGGGGCGGCCCCCGCGGCGCACCACCGCCGCGGCCCCAGCGGCGGCGCCGGCCCGAGGAGCCACCGCGGCGGGCCCGGGUGCGGCCGGAACACCAGCGGCCGCGGCAGCGCCGGCAGCAGCUCCGCCGUCGACCCCGCCAGCACGGCCAGGUGCCCCGCCGCCGCCACGCUCUGGAGCGGGAGCCGCCGCGAGAGGAACGACGGGUGUCUAAUGAGGACGCCCAGAUUAGGGCUAUUAGGGUUAGGGUUCGGGAGCUGCUGCAGCAGCGGCGUCGGCGGGGGGGGGAGAUCGACCCAGGCGGCGGCGACGGGGUCGAAGCAGGCGAAGGCGACGGCGUUGGGCUCGUCGUCGGCGUAGAGGAGGGCGUAGAGGGAGAGGAAGGGGGGGAAGGAGGGGGCGUAGAGGAGGCGUCGCCAUGAGCGGCACACGGCGAAGAUCAGCGGAGGUGGGAGAUGCGCCAGGCACAGCUGCGCCAGGUGGUCCGGGAGCCCCGGGAUCAGAGACUGGUACUCCUCCUCUUCUUCCUCCUCCUCCUCCUCCUCCUUGGCUCGUUUCCUCCUCGGUGGGGUUUCAUGGUCGAGGUGGGAGCCGAUCCUAGCGCGCUUGGAAGAAGACGACGAUUCGGAGGAGGUGGCGGAGGCCGCCAUUAAUGGAGUCAGUGUUGUUGGAGAGGAAGAAGAAGAAGAGGAGGAGGAGGAGGAAGAAGAAGAGGGGAGUAUCAAAUCAAAUAUGUUCGAGGAAAUGACUCAACGAGGAGAGAGGGUGGAGAGAGGGGCAAGGAUUUUUGUCUUAUAGCUUUUUGUUGCAUUAAUGCCCACUUAGUUUUUCUAUAAAUGAAAAAAAAAUUACACAUCCUUAUCGAAAUUUUCGCUUUCCGUGAACACCGUACUAAUAAUUAUUACGCGUCCUUUAUUUUUGAUAUUCGAUUUAAAAGACUAAUUUUGGCUUAAAUGAAACAUUAUCGAACUUGCCUUAUUGUGUUAGCAUGUUUUAAAUAAAUUGAUUAUCCACUGAUAAACUAUUAUUUUAGAGUGACUUUAGUUUUAUCGUACAUCUCAUUUUUUUUCACUAACAGGUCUAAUGAAUUAUGGUUUUGAUUUAAAAAGAUUAGUAUCUCUCGCCGUGACAAAUUAAGGUUGAGUUGGACCAAAUUUAUAUUCAAAAUACUGGGAGACUGGCUCGGACCGAAUCAUAACUGAAAUACGUGGGUAUUAUGUUUUUACGCUUUACAUAUAUUGAAUUUUUAGAAUUGUGAUUAAUACUAACAAUUCACCAUAUAGUUCAAUUAGUUAGAAAUUUUAUUAAACGCGAACUAUUAUUUCUUGAAGAUUCUAUUUUUAUCGUGUAAUUCGUAUUAUCAUUUUAUUUACCAUUUGUAUAAUUAAUUUGAACUCUUAUAAGUAUUGUACUUAGUUGAUUCGAACUUGGGUCUCGGGUACCAACCACCAAGUCCUUUGCCACUUGUUAUAGGGACGGUCGGUAAGGCAGUUUAGUUAGAUAUAAUUAGAAAUACAAUAUAGUUGAAGAAACAUUUUGGUUGAAAUGCAGCAGUCACAAUUACAAAUAUUUCGUUUCGUUGGAUACAGUAUUAAGUAUUGCAAAUAUAAAUAAUUUAUUCAAUUACGUAUAGUUCAAAAACAUAAUUUUCACUAAUAUAAUUAGACCUCCUUACGUACUUUCAACUGCAGCAAUUGAAUUUAAAUAUAUCAGAUUAAUAUAUGACGAGUUACGUGUACAAAUAACUAAAUUGAGGAAUUUAAUUAAAACUAAAUAAUUAAUUAUUUAACAAAGUUAGAAUUUCUAGGGACCGAGUAGGAGAAUUUCACGUGGGACAAAAAAGGUAUGGGCAGGUGGGGGGAGUUAGGGUGGAGUCGGGUGUUGUCCUCACCCCUUAAAAGCUGCUAAAUGGACUUUUUCCCGUGUGCCUUGAGACCAUAAAAAGAUAAAGUAGAGAGAGAAAAGAUUUUUACAAUUGUAUAUAUAUAUAUAUAUAUAUAUAUAUAUAUAUAUUGAGUUUGACUGGAGUACUAUCGAGAGCACUAAGAAUUAGGUACUAUCACGUUUUCUACCGUUAGAUUUUACCUUUUGAUUAUUUUUAUCCGUUUGAUUAUACUAUUCAACUAACCAACUUACUCAACCCUAGGGGCCUACAUCAUUCUAACCGUACAUUUCUUAAUCCAAAAAUUAAAAAAUCAAUAGCACAAUAGCUUGGUGCUAUUGAUAGUAUUCAGCAAUAUAUAUAUAUAUAUAUAUAUAUAUAUAUAUAUAUAUAUAUAUAAUAUAUAUAUAUAUAUAUAAUUGAGCUAUAAUAUUUUUAGAAGCACCAACCCUUCUGUGCUUCUAAGUUUCUAGCCCUUGGAUGUUCUUUGAUUACUAAUAGCUUUUGGAUCAAACAUUAUUCAACCUACGACAAUUUAUCACCAUCAUCUCAACUCUACAUCUCUCCAUCCAAUGGCAAAAAGCUCAAAAGCACCACUAUAUGCGCGGACUAUUAUAUUCUUAUAAAUUUAAAUCCUUUUAUACUUAUAUAAGUUUCGACCGUUGGAUAAAAAAAUAAAUAUGCGAUGAUCUGUAUGAAAUUAAUUCUUUUUUUAUCGAGAAAUUGGACGGCUGAUUCAAAAAACCAAUGAAUUUGUCGUGUAUGAAUCAAGUAGCAUGAAAAACAUGGAAAAAAACUUGCAUAUAGAAUACAAAAAUAAAAAAAGAAAAUCAAAAGAAAGGUCCAAAAUUAAACAGAGUUAGAAGUCGUGUAAAAUUAAAAUUUAGAAUCUCUCACUUUUGUAUCAUAUUAAAUAAAUAUAAAAUAAUUAUUAUUUUUUAAUAAUUUAAGUUUUGAAGUGAUUAAUUGUUUCACAUAAUUUAAUAGUCUCCAUAUAUUUAUUUAUUUUUGUUGUAUAUAUAUAUAUAUAUAUAUAUAUAUAUAAAGAGAGAGAGAGUUGAGCUGAAAUGCUAUAAGUAAUAAAUGAGUUUCGUUGCCAUGCACUCAUUUAUUUUCGAUGAUCGAGGCUCUAAAUCGACGAUCGAUAUUGUUGAACAUAAUCUAUACCACUUGAAGUAUAUAGAAAAUUUUGAAUUUUUUCAACAUUGCAGGCCUAAUAAUUAAAGAGUUUCAAAAUUUAUAAUUCUAACUAUUAGUAUAAGACGUUUUUCGUUUAACGGCGUAAAGAUAUCCAAACCAGUUGAAUUUUGGUUAAGGAAUUUUUUAAACUAAUUUAAAAUAAGAUUUACACUUUUGAUAUUGAUUAUAAAACUCCUAUAAUCACUUUUUAAAGGAUGUUUAUUUUUUGAGGAUGUUCAUUUUUAGCCGUUCAUUUUUUACUGCCACUUGAUGGACAAGAGAACAAUAUCGAAAAAGUAUGAAAUUUGAUUUCUAAAUGUUUCGAGUGAUAUAAUUCAUGUUCAAUAGUACCGAUUGUCGAUUUGGAGGCUCGAUCAUCGAAAAUAAAUAAGUAAAAACGGAGCUCGUUUGCUGUCGAUAUUAUUCCUUCUCAACUCUAUAUUUAUUUAUUUAUUUAUUUAUUUAUUUAUUUAUUGUUAUCUUUUGUGUAGGAAAUUGUGCGGUGGUGGUGGUGGGGCCAUUUACAAGUGGUUGUUAACUAAUUAAUAAUAAUUAGGGAUGCAUCGUAAAGUAAAAGCGUAGCUUUUUUUUUUAAUAUAACUUUUGGAAUGUGGGCCAAUCAGGGAACAGCACGUGCCCCCCCGCGAAAAGUGGCUUUUGGCUUUUAUUGAAGGGACGAAUCCAAUCACUAGUGGCCACGUGCCUUUCAUGAGAAGCGACAUGCUUUCACAGUAAUUAUUGUUAAUUUUUAUUUUAAUAUAUUAUAGGAGACAAAAUUAUAAUUGCUUUAUUUUUUAAAAAAUUUUUAUAGUAUAAAAAUAAGGUUAAAUUAAAAAAAAAUCUUUAAAUAUAUCUUUUUUUUCACUCUUACUCCCUAACUUUUAAAUAUUUUAUAUUUUACUCCCUUAAUAUUUCAAGUUAUCAUAUUUAAACUCGUUCUGUUAGGGUUGUAUUACUAUUCCGUUCAUUUCUUAUAAUUUAUAUCAAAAAUAUAUAUUUUAAAAUAAUAAAAAUAUAUUAAAAAUUAUUUUUUAUAGAAAAAAUAAGAAUAAUUUGAUUAUUUUAAACUCUCCAUUAACAUUGUAUCCUUUAAAAAUAUUUUAAAAAUUUUAAGAGAAUAAAAUAUAAUUUUUUAAAAAUCUGAGAAAAGUAAAGAAAAAACUUCAAAUACUAUUCCUGUGGUUUUGCACUUUUUAUUUUUAGUACCUUUUGGUUUAAAGUGUAUCGAUUUAGUAACCUGUAGUUUUAUUUUUCUCUUUCUAUUGUCCUAUCCACUAAACUUUUUUCAUUAAACUAAUGAUAAAAUUAAAACUAAAAAAUAUUAAAGUGAAUAUUCGAUAAAUCUAGAUGGGGUAUCUGAAGUUUUUGUAUAUAAUUUAACAAAAUGUUAAUGGAUGAGCUGACAAAAAAGAAAAAUAAAAUCAUAGGAUACUAAAUUGAUACAUUUUAAAUCACAAGAUACAAAAAUAAAAAAGUGUGAAACAGAAACAGAAGAUGUGAUAUUUAAAAUUUAUCCAAAAAUAAAAGCUGAAUAUUUAUAUAAAAAAAAUUCUUAGUAGCCCAAGAGGGUGGGGGUCCACUCCGUGGGCUCCACGUGGCGUUGUGAGAUUCGGUUCGGUUAUGGGCUGUGGGCCCAUUAAUUAAUUAAUUAAUUAAUUAAUUAAUUAAUUAAUUAAUUAUGUGUCUGUAAAAGCCAACGCAAUUAAAUGAAAAAGGAGAAGGCCACGAGAAGGCCACGAGGAGGACAAGUUGCACCGCGCACUGCAUCGUAUUUAACGCAAUCUCAACGGCUUUGGCCUCUCUUUGUGUGUGGGGGCCACCGCAUAAAUUUUAUUGCGUGCGCUCAGUACACUGUAGACCAAUAUUUUUGAGGGAACGUAAAUGUUAUUAGAGGUCAUUCGGCUGUACGUAGUUUUAUAGAUACAGUACAGUUAAAAAUACAUACAGUUAAAUACAUAGUGGUUAUAUUUAUAAAUAUUAUUAUUUUAUAGGGUUCAUUUUAUAUAGAUUUUUAUAGAGAUAGUGAAUGACAAAUAUAUCCCUAUAAAGUUUAACUUUUAUAUACUAUAUGUAUAAAAGUUCUGAUAUUUUCAAAUAUGUUCCUCUAUUUUGUUACCGUUAGAAAACCAUUGAAGAACCGUUUACAUUUUUUAUUUUGCCAUCACAAAUAUUUCCCUCCAAAAAUAAUAACAGUAUAAUAAAAAAGAAAUAAAAAUAUCAAAUCUAACCAGGGUUAAGUAUUUAUCCUAUGGUUAACUAAAUUUUUCGAAGAGAUUUUAACGGUAUGAAUAUAUUUGAAAACAUCAGGACUUUCGUAGGGACAACAUAAGAAAGUUGAACUUUGUAGACAUAUAUUUGUCAUUCACUAUAUUUAUAGGAACCUGUAUUAAAUUAAUCUUAUUUUAUAUAUAAGGAAAUAAAAUUACACUUUAUAAAAGAUAAUUUAUUGUAAGUUUAUAUUUUGUUUAAGUUUAUCCUCUACAAUCGCUGCAGUUAAAAUCAUAGCCAAUUGGGCGUUGUUAAAACUAUUAUUGUUCUUUGUUAUUUCUUGGAAUCUCUUUGAAUAGUUUCAACUCUGCUGCCAAUUUGGGUAUAGUACUAGUUGAACUCAAAUACAUAAGAUUGAUAUUAAAUUUUGUAUUUAUUUAAAAUGUUAGUGCAUUUAUAACUACAACGAACCAGCCUCGUAUAGCUUUCUCAGUUUCUACACAGCUUGCAGAAUCAACUCCAGUAAAUUUAAAAAACAUUCGAAAAAUAAUAAAGCACGGAGUUUUGAAAAGCAAAAGUUGUAGUUUUUUACUGAUUAUUAAAAAUAUGGUAAUGACAUGUCAGCAUAACAAUGGAUUCUUUUGAUAACACUAGUCCAACAUUAUUUUAGCGAAACUUAAUUAAUGAUUUCAUUUGUGUAAUUUAUAAUUCUUAGAUUUAAAGGUUACAAAUUAUAAUUGAUAAUUCAGCUGACGUGGUGGACCGGGUCCAGGUAACAUUUUCUCCGAGGCCCACCGACGUGGACAGGGCAUCUUCCCGAGCCUGCAUUGGAUCCUUUCAUUUGCGUUGGUCCAAAAAUGGUUAUAACAAAAGAUGAGAUGCAUGGAAAAUUCAUUCAUCCAUGCACACACCUUUUUUUUUUUUCCUUUUUUUUCCCCUUUUUGAUUGGUUCAAAUUUAAAUCGUAAAAAUGUAAAAAUGUGCAGAAUUUAUCUAGAUCUAGAGUAUGGUCAUUUUUUAUUCGACUAUAUAAUUUUAAAAAUUUUGCAUGGCUUUGAUGCAUGCUAAACCCGUAGUUUGCUAGAAUUACGUCAUGCGGUGAUUUUUUGCAGUACAAAAUUUAUUUUAGAUUCAUCACUUACUUAGUAGAAUUAUAGUCAUAUAAAACAAAAAAAAAAAAUGAUAAUCAAGCUUGAAAUUGGUGGAUUUUCAUCAAAUAGUUUAAAUUUUAAAAAUUAGAAGGUUAAGCUGCAAUUUUUUUUUUUUUGAAGGUUAAGUAAUUGGAUCGAACUAAAAUAACUGAAAUAUAUGAAUAGAAGUUGAGAAAUGUUGAUUAUUUCAAAAUGGCGUAGAGUUGGGGAGGUCUCCGUAUGUUUUUAUUUGUAAAUCAUUCAAGUCAUCUGAAUUUAUACAUAAUAUAUUUUUCAUCUAGAAUACUAUCGAUAGCAAAUGAAUAGUAUUUGCUAUCAAUUUUCUAACCCAUGACUAGUCUCAAAUUUGAAGUUUAGUUACUUCAUAAUUCAAGCUGAGUUCGUUUCUAAAAACGAACGAAGUGAGUAGUGUGCUACCUUUCUCUCUAUGAAAAGAAAAGAAUACGUGAAUAUCGAACUAAAUUCAAUAGAUCAGAUCUAUUAAUAACAAUCCAUGAUUGGUUUAAAAAUGCCUAGAGCCUACCUUGAGCCCAUUUUUAAAAUGUCUUUUUGGGCCACUCACUCGAAUGUUAGAUGUCUUUUAAGACACAGCCUGUUUGGCCCACAUUCUGUUGAAUGUCUUACUACUACUAUUAGGAAGCUAUACAAUCCAAUCAAUUCGGUUUCAAAUUGAACUAAAUUCGAGUGAGAAUUACUAUUCUAAUUAAGUGGCUUUCCAGCUGAAGUUUCUUGUUUGUGUUGUUUUAUCAAAAGAACUAGUAAAUUAAAGGAAGUUCUUCCACUUUCUAUAUGUUUGUUUUUGGAUAAAUGUUUCGAAUAAUAACCAUAAACACAUUUAAAGGAGAAUGUUCUUGAUCAUCCAUAAAUGUGACCUAAUUAGUCAUAUUUAGAUUUACUACAAAUAAAGAUCGAUCGUAACAUAUGUACAACGAUUUGAUAUAAUAUAUCUUAUCCCUUUCUUAUUUAUUUAAAUUAAAUAAAGAUCUACUUAGACUUUAAUAAAAUAUUGAUCUGGACUCUACAUAAAGAGAUACUGAUCGUACUAUUUUUUCUACGGCGCUUUGUAAGUCUUUUAUUUUUUUUUUUUGUUUAUAAUUCUGAGUAUUGAUGUAUGUAUUUGGUUUAGUUAUAUUCACAUGCCAAUAUAGAUCUCCCAUAAUGCACGCACAGCAGAUACUUCCAAAGCAGGGCUAGAACCUGCAGAAGAAUAAUAAGAUGUCAUUGAAAUCCACACAAGAUCCUAAACGAACUCUACUACUCAAACACCUUAAACUAAAGGAGAACAAACAAGACGUGCAUGCACGUACGUAAUUAUAAGUUGCAGUGUAUGAGACCUUUAGCUGAUCAUCAGUUGGAAACUCAUUACACCGGAGACUCAUCAGCAGGAGGAGGAUCGGGCCACCGGAGAAUCCCGCCGUGUGUAAGCAAUGCCCAGACGUGGGUGAUGAACUCACCGCCGUGUGCCAGAGCUUGCGCGUGGCUCUUGACGUUGUCCGACGGUGCGACGUAGACCACGAUCUCCGUCCACAGCUCCGCCAGCACCUUCCACACCAGCUGCUCGUUCCCCACCGCCUCCACCAGCUGGUGCCCGAGCUCUGCUCCCCUCUCCGCCGCCGUCCCAUUCGCCUUCCUCAUCCUUAUCACGCGCUCAAAAUCAUCCGCCUUACGAUCAUGCCCUUUUAGUAUAACAUCCUGAAUUUCCUUCACCGCAGCCUUGUAUGCGGUUGCUGUCGUGGCCGCGUCGUCGGGCAGCAGCUCCGGCGAGAGCGCCAGCAGGUACGCGCAGUACCUGGACAGCGUCUUGGCGAUCCUAUGGUUCGCCUGCGUGUCGUGCUCGUCAGACUGCUGAGGCUGCUGCGGCGGCGACGGCGACGGCGACAGCCACGGCGACUGUGGGUGCUUCAUCUCGUAGAGACAGGUGGCGAUGUGCCAGACGAUGACCGUCUCUGCCGCGCCGUCGCUCUUGCAAGCCUGCAGCAGCUCCUCUGCCGCAGCCCCGUUCCGCCGCAGCACGGACUCUCCGAUGCGCGGCACGGGGCCGCGGCCUUCGCUGUCUACUAGAUACUUUGCGAUUGCUGCCUUCACCUCCGUCGGGACGGGCGUCGACCGCACGCCAAGGAAGGGCCGGUACAGCAUGGGCUUCAAGAGCAUCGACUGCACGUAUAGGAAGCGGUGGCGCAGCACAAGCUGCGAGAAGAUCCGCAGGGUGCGGCCGCGAGGUUCUAUGACAGAAUGCUGGUUGAAUUUGAGGUCGGGACGCUUCAAGCAGGUCUUCACCCUCCGCAGCGUGCUGAAGGCCCAGCGGACGCUCGCAGAUCGCCGCCACGACGGCUUCUUCGCGUAGGUGCAGAGCAGGGAGACCAUGACCCAGUCGGAGAGCACGUAGGUGACGGCCUCCGCAAACUCCAGCAAGAAGAGUGUGGCGAUGAGGAGGAUGGUGAUGAUCAGUUCGUACGUGUUGGGCACUUCCGUGCUGUCGUCUUGCUGAUCGAAGAGAAGGAUAUUGCGCCAAACGAUGACUGAGAUAAACAUGAUGCAGCAGAAGAAAAGGAUGACGAGCGUGACCACGCAGUUGAGGAGGAAGAACCAGAGAUUCGGCAGCGUGACGCGGAUUGUGGAGUAGUAGUAGUCGCUGAGGAAGCUGAGCUCGUCCUCAACCACACGAAACACCCUGUUGAUCGAGAGUAGUAAAAUUAUAUAUUAAAACAUAUAUAUAUAUAUAUAUAUAUAUAUAUUUGAGCUAUAAUACUUUUAUAAGUAUUGCUAGCCCUACUUGUAUAUGUAUAUAUAGAGUUGAGCUGUAAUACUUUUGUAAGUUUUCUAGCCCUACUGUAUGUAUAUAUGUAGUAGGUUUAGAAUACUUGUGAAAGUAUUAUGGAGGUAGGUAGUUUUGUGUUUUUAUCCCUUGGCUAUUGAUAGAUGUGAGGUUGAGAUUCAAUGGUUGUAGGUGGUGGUAGGUCGAUGAUGGUGUUUCUUGUAAGGGCUAUUAAUAGCUCAACUCGUAUAUUUAAUGUCUUUAUAUCUGAUAGGGCUAUGAUGGUGAUACUUGUAAAAGUAUUAUGGGGUGAUACUUGUGUGUUUUUAGCCCUUGGAUGGAGAGAUGUGAGGUUGAGAUGAUGGUGGUAGGUGGUGGUAGGUGGAAUAGUGUUUAAUCCAAGGGCUAUUAAUAAUCAAAAAGUAGAUUCAAUGGCUUAAAACCUGAUAGCACCAUGAUGGUGAUACUUGUAAAAGUAUUAUAGCUCAACUCUCUCUCUCUCUCUCUCUCUCUCUCUCUCUCUCUCUCUAUAUAGAGUUGAGCUAUAAUACUUUUACAAGUAUCACCAUCAUUGUGCUAUUAGGUUUUAAGCCAUUGGGUUUACUUUUUGAUUAUUAAUAAGUGGUAUAGAUCAUGUUCAACGGAGCCGAUCGUCAAUUUGGAAGUUCUAUCAUCGAAAACAAAUCGGUAGUAAAAUAGCUCGUUUACUACCGAUAGUAUUCUAGCUCAACUAUAUAUAUAUAUAUAUAUAUAUAUAUAUAUCGAUCAUUGUUCCCCCGGAAUAGGAUAAGUUUUUGGAAUAAAAAGGUUAGUUAUUGCAUAUUAUUAAUUGUUUAAUAUAAUAUAAUAUAAUAUAAUAUUGGCGCAAGCAGGUAGCAGAUUCUGAAUUUUACUGAUUCAUGCAUAUAUUUAUACCUCUCGGCCUUGUGCUCUUCUGCCAAUCUCCUAUCGCGGGUACUGAUGUACUUAUCAUCGCCGAGCAAGCUGCACAGCAAGAAGUGAAGGGACUCGCGGCGGCCGGACUCAGCGGACGGAUACUCCUCGAACCUCCUCCGUAGUAGCUUAUAGAGCGCGAAGGAGAGGCAGAGAUCCUUGAGAUUCAGCCGCUCCGAGGAAAAGAGGGCGUCGCCGCCGCUCGCAGCCAGUCGCCACACGUCGCCGAUGGUCACCAUCUUAUCCCUCUCCUUAGCAUCCGAGAGCUGGAGACUGUAGCCGUGAGGGCCCUCCUUUCUCUUCACCUUGUCUUCUCCCAUGAUCACAUACUUGCAUGCCAUCAUCGCCGACGUUGCGUUAUUUACUACUUCUUCUUCUUCUUCCCCUGUUGCCGCUGUUUCUUGUUGUUGUUGUUGUUCUUCUGCUUCUUCUGCGGACAAUUGGCGCAUGUAACCGGCGAUGAGGUGCGGGUUUUCCCCCAAGGCAAAGGAGCGUUUGGCGACCUCGAUGGCAGCGACUCUCUGCGCAACCUUGAUGACGCUGAAAGCCCAGAGGAUGACGAAUUCCACUUCGAUUAUUUUAUACCAGUAGAUCAGGAAGCCGAGCCACGCGAUGCGCACGAUCUGCUCGACGGCAUCCCAGGUCGACUGCUCGUUGAUACCCUGCAAAGGGGAGGCGUUUAUCUUGCUGACGCCUUCUAGCUUCUUGCGGAGGAGCUCGGCCAGGAGCAUCCACAGCAGGAUAAGCAGCGGACGGAUUUCUUCUAGCGAGUUCUUCACCGCGGAGAACAAGUAUGACGUGAGAGGGAGGAAGAGCGCGAAGACGACCCAGAGGAAGAAGCGGACGGUGGGAUGAGUGGUGGCGGCUCCAGAGAGGCGGCUGAGGAGGCUGCGGACCAGGAGGAGACCUGCGAGGAGGCCCAUGAUCACCGAUGCCACCACCAUCAGAGCGUCGGCGGUGGCGGUGGGACCGACGGAGGGCGAGGGCGAGGCUGAGGGCGAGGGCAUGGGAGUGUCGCCAGAAUAUUGUUGUACAUACGCCAUCUGUAUAUCGUGGUGCAGGCAGUUGUUUCAGAAUCAGAGCUGCACAUUCGAAACAAAACACAAUAGCGUGCAUAAAGUUAGUUAUGGCCGUUUCAUCGAACUCAAAGCUGCAUCGUGUCAAAUAGAUCAAACUAUAUAUAUAUUGCAUGCUAAGCUUACAAAUUUGUUUCUUUUAAUUAUUAUAUAAGCUAUAUAAAGAUUAAAUAACUGAAAUAUUGCUAAACUCAUCUAAUUAUUCAAGAAAGAAAAAUGGCAACGUUAGAUUUUAACAUUCAGAUUUCUAAAUGUAACCAGGUCAAAGUUGAAGGAGUCUCACUUUUUUUUUUCCUCUCACGAGAAUAUGUAAUGUUGUCUCGAAUGCCGAAACGGUAAAAGUUUUCUAACCCUAUUAUAUUUUAGUUAUCGUAUUAAGUUAAGUUUAAAUUAUGAUUAAUUUUAUUUAGAUUUUUUUAGACAUUGUGGAUUUGUACUUCUAAUUAUAUUAAGAUUUAGCUACUAUUAUAAAUAUUUUUUUAUUCCAUUAAUUUAGUGCGGCAGAUGAGAAACAUUAUGGAUGUAUUUUGUUAGGAAUCUAGUAACUUGCCCUGAUAUCAGAUUUUGAAAAUCUGCAAUCCAGUCUAAUGUCGAUUGCUAUUGACCUAGUACUUGCUCUGAAACCAAUUGUUGGAAUUCCGCAAUGGAAUCGUCAAAGGAAACUUUUACUAUAAACUCGCCUCUUCAGCAAAAUGUUAUUCCUGGAACAACCAUAAAAGAAAAAAAAAAAGCAAACAAAAAAUGCGGAUGAAAUAAGAUUCAUUAAAUAAAAGAAGAUUACACCUGAUUUCUCUUCUGCAAUGGAGUAGUUUCAAUUCAAGCCCUCUUUCUUAAUCUUUCAAUUCAAGCCAUCUUUCUUAAUCUUUCUCACCCUUCUCUCAUCUUCUAUAAACCCAGAAGACUUCUCCAUUCUUCUCCGCACCCAUGCACUUGGUGCAUAAAACUUGGCCUUGGGUAGGAACUAUAUAUAAAGCUCCACCCAACGUGCAUCCAAAUAUAGUAUAAUUAAAAAUCAUACUGUAAUUAAUAUUUAAAUAUUAAUUAAUUCACCACUAAUGGAUUCAAAUAUUUAUUGUAAUCCAACUAGAAAUCAACUACAAAUCUCACUAAAAUCCUAACAUAUUUUUUGAGACUAGCAUUUUGUGAGAGAGGUAUAUUUUGUACACCACUUUAAUUAUAAGCUAAAUUGCAGAAAAUCUUUCUAUUAGUACCAACUUUUUUACUCUCACUUCGUGAUUUUCAAAAACUUAUAUUUUGCAUUUUUAAAAUUUCAUAAAUAUUUUAAGGGAGGUAAGGUGUUAAUGGAGAGAGCAAAAUGACCAAAUUAUUUUUACUUUUUCUAUAAGAAAUUUUUUUAAUAUAUUUCUGUUAUUUUGAAGAGUAUUUUCAGUAUAAAUUAUAAGAAAUGAACGGAAUAGUGAUGGAAUCCUGACGGAGGGAGGCUAAAUGCAACAACUUGAAAUGUUGAGAGGGUAAAAUAUGGAUUUUUAAAAGUUAGGAAGGAAAAAAAAAAAAGCGAAUAUUUAUAUAGGAGUUUUCUGUAAUUUAGUCUUGAUUAUAAUAAAAAUCUACACUGCAUCUUCGCCCGUUAAUGUAGGCCAGUGGCCGUACCACGUAAAUAGUUGUGUGCUUUAUUUUUUCUUUUCAUUUUCUCGAUUCUUUUUUAGCAUUUUCAUGCCCGACAAAUUAGAUUUUGUCUACUUUUGUCAUAAUAAACAAGUAUUGGAGCAAAUCUGCUAUCAGUGUAAGCCGCAAAAUUCUAACAAAUUGGUAUUAGAGCCGGAAUGUUUGUUUGGGUGUUUAAGACGUUGACGAAAUUUGAGAUCGAAAAAUUUGAUCACUCUAGCAAUUUCGCUCUGCAGCAAGUUAUCAUUCUAAUACAAUAUAGGUUGCAAAAACACGUUAUUGGGGAUGAAAAGAUUGGCACUUCAAAAAACUCCGCGGAUUUGCUUAUUAAGUCUCUCUCGGUGACCAAGUUUAAGUAUUCUGUAAACUUAAUCUGUGUGUGCUGCAACACUUCAGGAGCUUUUAGAGUUUCUUAGUGGAGAAGGCGAAAAAUUCAAUCCAAGGUAGAGAUUGUUAGAUAUGUUUCGAAUUCUGAAACCGUAAGAUUUCUAAUCCUAUUAUGUUUUGGUUAUCACAUUAAGUUAAGUUUAGAUUAUAUUUAAUCUUAUUAAAAUUAUUCCUAAUCAUAGCGGAUUUGUGGUAUUAUAAUUUAGCCAUUUUUAUAACUAAAUAUUUAUAUCUUUUAUUUCAUUAAUUUGGUGCGGCAGAUAAGAAAGAGUGUGAGUAUAUUUUUUCUACUUAGGAUUUUGUGAGAGGCAUAUUUUAUAUACCAUUUUAAUUAUAGUGAAGAUUUUCACUGCGUUUUUCUCGAUUCUAUUUUAAUAUUUUCGCGUCCGACGAACUAAAUAUUUUUCACUUUUGUCGUAACAUGUAAUUCAUGAAAUCAAUUCCACAAACAAUUUAAGAACAAUUACAUAAACCAAGCCAAAUUAUUUUACUAAGUACAGUUAAUUUUAUUUGUUUAUAUCAACUAGGCUAUUGAUUAGAUAAUAGAAUAUUCAAGUCGCCCGACUGCACGGAAAGGAGCAUUUAACAUCAGGUAAUAAAUAGCGAGUUUUUUUUCCCCCACAUGCAUGGAAUUGACUAUUUACAAGCUUAGUAAUUAUAGCCUUUGUUUGGUUGGGGGUUAAAGGAUGGAAUAACUCCUUAACCCUCAUAUUAUUUAUUUUCAAACACCUUUAAAAAUUGGUGGGGUUAGCUAAUCCAACCUCAAAUAGGCUAUUCCGAAUUAGCUAACCCCACCAAAUCCCAAACAAAUACUAUUUUCUAUUCAUAAAAACUCACUAUUCUUCUUAUCCCACCUACUCCAAUCAAAUACUAUUUUUCACUAUUUUGGACUAACUCCAACCUCCAACCAAACACAAAAAUACUCUAACCCCACCUUAACCCUGAACUUAACCCUAUUCCUAAAAUAACAAGGUUUUCCUUAACCCCGAACCAAACGGUAGCUAAGAAACUUUACUAGUCUUCUCCACAUCUCACGUAACGUGGGGCUCACUAUU
rnacentral:lncRNA from 1 species